GGCUGAGAAACGGAGCUGGAACUAGACAGGCAUGAAACCUCCUAAUUAAAUUAUAACUAAAGAUUGAUAUUGAAAGAACAUAACAUGAAAGAAUACAACAAUCACGUUCCGUAGAUGUGGUUAAGAACAGGUCAGGGUACACUGUUUCAUGAACUCAAUGGGAACUGUUCAGAACAUUCUCAGACUCUUGUGCAGAAGCAGAGAAAAGAUUAUGAGCGAGACUUCCCAGAAUGCAAGAGAAAAGAAGCAAUAGUUCUCAUAGUAAGACUUCACAGUUAUGUGCAGUAAGAGAACUGCAGAAAGAAAACUUCCCUUUAGGGGCGGGCAUCGAGCGAACAGCAGACAGGAUGGGGCACCCAGCGCCAAUAGGGUGGGCUUUCCCUAUGGGCACUGUGCAACCCACCCCUAUGGGCAAUUCACCCCACCCCUAGGUGCACCGCUCCAGCUGCCCAAGAGACUUCCACCACCGCUGUGGUUGGUUUGACAGCUAUGGCCAUUGCUGGACCAGGGCAGCCUUACCACAGUAGUUCAUGUGUAUGUUCCUUCCAGACUGGAUUACUGCUAUGUGUUCUAUGUGGGGCUUCCCUCGAGUUUAAUUUUUUAGGGAUUUUCCCUCAAGUUUAAUUUUUUAAAUUAAAUUUCUGUUUUACAUUUUAGAAUAUUCACUUAAACAACCUUAAAAUAUCAGUGACUUCCCUUCUUCUCUUUCCAUGGUUUAUUUUGCACAACGUAAAUCCCUGCAUAUUUUAUAUACAGUGGUACCUCGCAAGACGAAUGCCUCACAAGACAAAAAACUUGCUAGACGAAAGGGUUUUUUGUUUUUUGAGCUGCUUCGCAAGACGAUUUUCGCUAUGGGCUUGCUUCGCAAGACGGAAACGUCUUGCAAGUUUGUUUCCUUUUUCUUAACACCGUUAAUACAGUUGCGACUUGACUUCGAGGAGCAACUCAUAAAACACGGUGUGGUAGCCUUUUUUUGAGGUUUUUAAAGACUUUGGUGAUUUUUGAAGCUUUUCCAAAACUUUCCCGACACCGUGCUUCGCAAGACGAAAAAAAUCGCAAGACGACAAAACUCGCGGAACGAAUUAAUUUCAUCUUGUGAGGCACCAUUGUAAACUAAACCAUUCAGUAUUCCAUUAUUACAUCCAUCAAAACUUAUUUACACUGUUGAAUUUGUCUUAAUGCUGCCAACAUUUUCAAGUGUACGCAAUUCCCCCUCGUAUAGUCAAUAAACAUUUUCCAGUCUUCUUUAAAUGUAUGUUCUUUUUGUUCUCUUCUUCUGUGUGUUAGGUCCGCAAGCUGUGCAUAUUUCAUCACUUUAAGUUGCCAUUCUUCUUUAGUUGGGACUUUGCUCGUUUUCCAUUUGGGGGCUAACAAAACAUAGGCCGCCGUAGUGGCAUACACAAAUAACCUUCAUGGACACCUGGGAAUUUCCAUCUGAAUUAUUCCAAACAAAAAGAACUCUGGAUUUUUUGGGGGGAAAGUACUUUUAAACAUUUCCCACUCAGUUCAUUAUGAAUUAUUUCCCAAUACAGUGGUACCUCAGGUUAAGUACUUAAUUCAUUCCGGAGGUCCGUACUUAACCUGAAACUGUUCUUAACCUGAAGCACCACUUUAGCUAAUGGGGCCUCCUGCUGCCGCCGCGCGAUUUCUGUUCUCAUCCUGAAGCAAAGUUCUUAACCUGAAGCACUAUUUCUGGGUUAGCGGAGUCUGUAACCUGAAGCGUAUGUAACCUGAAGCAUAUGUAACCUGAGGUACCACUGUAUUCUUUUACCCUUUUACAGGCCACCACAUAUGAUAGAACAUACCCUCAGUCUUAUUACAUCUCCAACACUUAUCUGAUUUGGUCUUAUGCAUCUUAGCAAGACCUAUGUGGGGCUUCCCUCAUGCUUUAUCUGGAAGCUGCAGAACACUGUAGGAUGACUGUCUUCUCAGCAUAUUAACACCCGUCCUCAGAGAUCUGUGCAGGUUGCCAAAUUGCUACUGGGUCAGGUUAAAGGUGUUACUAUUAGCAUAUAAAGCCCUUAACAACUUGAGACCAGUUUACCUACAAGAUCACCUUAUCCAACAUGUGGCCACUCAACACUUGAUCAAUGCAAUUGGCACUACACAGCACCCGUUCCACAUUUGUCACAAACCAAUCAUUUAGUGUGGCAGUACCUACACUUUGGAACUCCCUGCCUCUUCAUAUCAAGCAGGAGCCUUCACUGAACUCUUUUCGGCGCCUGCUAAACACAUCCUUGUUUAGAGAAAGGGUUCUGGGCUUCCAGCAAAACCACAGCAUGCAAGAGUACAGUCACGGGGGCAAUUGGCUUCCUUCAAAGGCAUCAUUGGUGCAUGAGCUUAGCACAGAAGCGGCGAGCUAUUUCCUUUGGCUAUGAGCCAGACCUCUGAAGUCACACACUGGCUUUUGCGAUCAGAGUAAAAUUGGAAUUAUGUGACCUCAGAUUGGGAGCGCUGUGUCACAACACUGAGCACUGAGCACUCCCAAGCAUUUUGGAGUAGAAUUUUAGUUAAUAAUAAACUGGCUGGGUUUCUGUAUGUUAUUUUUAACCCACUCUCUGUUGACAUCCCCCUUUCUUUCUGUACACUUUCUGUGCACCACCACGGAGUUCUUGGAAUCCUUCCCUUUUUUUGAGCCCACUCUCUAUUUUCUUCCUUUGCACAGCCACCAGUCUCUCUGCGUGCCCAUCUGCCCCCCCCCUUUGAUUUCCUUUCUCAUCUCUCUUCUCCCUGCAUUUCUCAUACCUCCAACUCACAGCAACGUCAUCUUUCUUUCCUAACCCUUAACAGGUACUGUAUUUUUCGCUCUAUAAGACGCACCAGAGGAGGAGGAAAACAAGAAGAAGAAACAUUCUGAAUCCCAGAAGCCAGAACAGCAGGAGGGAUCUGGCUUCUGGGAUAGCCUCUUGCUGUUCUGGCUUCCGGAAUAGCCGCACACAGCUUCUCCCGGGCAGUGGGAUGAAGGCUCCCCCAUGAGCCACACUCCCUUUAAAUAGUGCGUGGAGCAUGUGUGCAGCUCUUGGGGGCUUUUCCCCGAGGAGGGAGAAGGAAACAUGCUCCACGGGGCUCUUUAAAGGGAGGGCCUGCAUUCGCUCCAUAAGACGCACACACAUCUCCUCUUACUUAGGGGGAAAGUGUGUCUUAUAGAAUGAAUAAUACGGUAUUUCUGAAUCCCACAUUCUCUCCUUUUCUCAUUGUAUCUCAUAGCACUUACUCUCUGCUUUACUAUGUUUCUCCAUCUCUCAGUACCCUGCCUUCCACCUUCAGGAACAUCACCUGAAAGAAAGGAGCUUCAGCAAGCUGAAGCUGAUUAAGAAAUAUCUCAAGCUAUGAAAGACAGAAGGAAAACCUACUGUUCUGUGCACUGAAACAAACUGUGAGAUACUGUGAUUCAAUUCACCAUUUUACCAAUACCAAUGAGAAAAUAAACUGCAAGUGUUUCAGCUGCGUACACCCCUUUGCCUGGGUUGACAUUAUGAGAUUUGACAUUACUUUCUCUGUGGAAUAAGAUGCGUUUCUAACUGGGGGAAGAGGAAAUUUAAUUUAUUCUGCUUGAUUAAACAUGUUAGCGUUUCACAAUGUGGAUCAACAUAUUUUUAAAACACAUUUUCGAAUGUACACCUCACAGUGAUUUCGUAAUAAAAUAUAUCAACAAUAAGACAUCUAUAAAAACAAUUUCCAGAACAAUGGAUGUAAAAAUUGGGAUAGCAAUCUCCACUUAAAAGAAUCACAGGAAGAGAAAUGUAUUCUGUGGGUAUCAAAAAGAUGGUAAAGAAAUUGCCUGGGAGGAAUGGGAAUAAGUUCCUUUGGCACUAACUGCCACCACAGUAAAAGUAUAAUUCCUACAUUAUAUGAACAAACCGCCUCAUGAGAUGGCAUCUGCAGUGACUGAUUUGGUAUAUGAGGAAUGAGAUGGUUGUUUAUAAAGUCUUUGAAUAACAAUGUCUUUAUGAAUGACUUGGCUGAAGGAAUCGAGGGGAUGCUCAUCAAAUUUGCAGACGACACCAAACUGGGAUGGGUAGCUAAUGCCACAGAAGAGAAAACUGAGAUUCAAGAGGAUCUUAACGGAUUGAAGAACUGGGCCCAAAGUAGCAAAAUAUAUUUCAGUAGGGACUGUAGAGUUUGAAGGGACCCCAGGGUCAUCUAGUCCAACCCCCUGCAAUGCAGGAAUCCUGCCCACAGCCAGCUCUGGAUGGGCUCAGACCACCAACUUUCUGGUUAGCAGCGAGACUCACUGACCCAUUGUGCUACACUCACUCAGGAAGAACCAGCUGCACAAAUAUAAGAUGCACAUGUGAAAAGGAUCUAGAUCAGGCUUCCUCAAACUCGGCCCUCCAGAUGUUUUGAGAAUACAAUUCCCAUCAUCCCUGACCACUGGUCCUGCUAGAUCAUGGGAGUUGUAGGCAAAAACAUCUGGAGGGCCGAGGUUGAGGAAGCUUGAUCUAGGGUUUUAGUAGACCAUAAACUGAACAUGAGGGAUGCACGUGGCACUGUGGGUUAAACCACAGAGCCUAGGACUUGUUGAACAAAAGGUCGGCAGUUCGAAUCCCCUCGACGGGGUGAGCUCCCAUUGCUCAGUCCCUGCUCCUGCCAACCUAGCAGUUCGAAAGCACGUCAAGCACAAGUAGAUAAAUAGGUACCGCUCCGGCGGGAAGGUAAACGGCGUUUCCGUGCGCUGCUCUGGUUCGUCAGAAGUGGCUUAGUCAUGCUGGCCACAUGACCCGGAAGCUGUACGCCGGCUCCCUCGGUCAGUAAAGCGAGAUGAGCGCCGCAACCCCAGAGUCGGUCAUGACUUGACCUAAUGGUCAGGUCCAGUCUUUACCUUUAAGCUGAACAUGAGUCAACAGUGUGAUGCAGCAGCAAAAAAGAAAAGAAAAGAAAAGAAAAAGCUAAUGCAUAAAGUCUAGUGUCCAGAUCAAGGGAAGUAAUAUUCCCACUCUGUUCUGCCUUGGUCAGAUCACACCUGGAAUAGUGUGUAUUUAAGAAGGAUAUUGACAACCUGGAAUGUGUGCAGAGGAGGGUGACCAAGAUGAUCAAGGGUCUGGAAACCAAGCCUUGUGAUGAAUGGUUGAGGGAGUUGGGUUUUCUUAGCCUGGAUAAGUGGAGACUGAGAGAUUUGAUAGCCAACUCUUUUCCCUAUCCCUGAUUACGGCUGACAUAGGCACUGACUCCUAGGGGCCAAGGCAGUUUCUGCCCCCCCCAUGUAUUUUUGAGGGGGGCGGGCACCCUCAAUUUUCAGAGGACCUUUGUCUCCACCCCCUGGCUCCUUACGACAUCACAUGUGCAACAUCAGGACAUUACAUGAUGUCAAAUUGGGGCCCCUUGAUCAUCUGGAGAAGUUGGCACCUCUGACUAAUGUCAGUGUAAAUUGGAAUUCAAGGAUUCUGCUUAGCUUUUAAUUCUUUUAUAUGUAAUAACACAUAGUCAAUACAAAGGGCAUUUAAUAAUGCAGAAAACUCAUUGCCUUAUAUUAAGCAUCAAGGCAUUGAAAAUUUUGCCAAAUUGUCCAAAUGAGUAAAAUAAGCUGCACAUGUUCAUAGACUAGAACCUCCACUCACAUUGCAAAGUGUGGGGAGGUGGAUAUUUUUCAGAGGUUAUUUAGCUUCUCACUCCUAAUGAGUCCAAUCAAAGAUAGCAAAUCCAAUUACAUUUGAGAAAGGCAGGAUAACAUAGCUGAUCGUGUUACAUUUUGCCCAUUUUGUUCAACUUAAUUGGGAAGAAUUAAUGAGCACAGUAGAGAAAUAAUGGUAUUCUAUUAAGCCGGGGCAAAUGUUUUAAAAUUAAAGACAUUUGUCAUGAAGAGUAAUACAUAUUUGAUUGGUUGAAACACCAUCGAAAUAAACUGCAUUGUACUAGCUCACAGCUCAGCCGACAAAACUGUUGAUCAACUUGCACCAACAAACACAGCUGCUUUAUAUAGUAAACAUUUGUUUAGUUUUCAGUUUAUUAAAUGUCAAAUUAACUGUUAACUUUGGUGGAACCACACAAAAAAAUCUCAAUCAACCAAUUUAAUUUUGAGAGGUGUGAAAGCUUAUUUGAAUGCAAAGUUGAAAUCUGUCAAUACUAGUCAAAAUCUAUUGCAAGAAUUAAUAGGAAAAAUCAGAUAAUUCAAAAUUUUCAAUCAACUACUCCCAAAAAACUUAAGGAAUUAAUUCACCUGCCUCUAAAGCCCAGGCAUAACUAUCGCUGCUGGAGAGUGAGAUUCUGCUAACAUAUUUGUGUGUAGUGUUGCAGACAUCUGCUGCAAAAAAGCUCCAUUUUGUCAGAAUGCAGCUAAAAAUGCCGGUAGUAGACUUGGACUGAAAAUGAUUUUCCUGCAUAGGAUACAUGGGCUGGGGAUGGCAUUAGUCAACGUGGUGCCCACCUGAUGUUGUUGGACUACAGUUCCAACUGCCCUGGAUCAUUAGCCAUACUAGCUGGGGCUGAUGGGAACUGGAGAUCAAUAACAUCUGACAUGUAUUAAGUUCCCUGUCCCUAGACUAGAGCCUAAAUUGUUCCAGGGAAAAGGGGUGGCAUAUGUACUGAAGUCCGUAUAGUUAAAGCUAUGGUUUUCCCAGUAGUGAUGUAUGGAGGUGAGAGCUGGACCAUAAAGAAGGCUGAUCAUCGAAGAAUUGAUGCUUUUGAAUUAUGGUGCUGGAGGAGACUCUUGAGACUCCCAUGGACUGCAAGAAGAUCAAACCUAUCCAUUCUGAAGGAAAUCAGCCCUGAGUGCUCACUGGAAGGACAGAUCCUGAAGCUGAGGCUCCAAUACUUUGGCCACCUCAUGAGAAGAGAAGAUUCCCUGGAAAAUACCCUGAUGUUGGGAAAGAUUGAGGGCACAAGGAGAAGGGGAUGAUAGAGGAUGUGAUGGUUGUUCUUGAAGCUACCAAUAUGAGUUUGACCAAACUGUGGGAGGCAGUGGAAGACAGGAGUGCCUGGCGUGCUCUGGUCCAUGGGGUCACGAAGAGUCGGACAUGACUAAACGACUAAACAACAACAAUGGACUGAAGUGGCACUACCUUGUAUUCUCAGCUUGUUAAGAAGUAAAAUAUUCCAACUGGAUUUAGAACUUCUGUUUUCUGGUACCUAAUUUCCCCCCAUUAUUGCCUUCCAGGGAUGCUUGUUUAUAUUUUGUAAGCGACGGCUGUGGCAUUUUUCUUCUUCUCUAGAAGAAGGGAUGUAACUUGAGGGUCCUUCUGGAUCCACUGCUGCUUCCUGAGGCUUAAGUUGCCCCAAUUUUUUGGAGUGCCUUCCAUCAACUUGGGCAGGUGACUCAGCAGCAUAGUGUCAUCUAUGCUCCAGUAACCUCUAGGUUAGAUUACGGUCAUAUGCUAUACAGUACGUGAGGCUGCCUCUGGAGAUGGUUCUGAAACUUUAGAUGCGGCAGAAUUCAGCAGCCAGGUUGCUCACCAGGGCAAGACAAUUUGAGCAUACAACUCUGAUCCUGGGCCUAGUUUCUAGGCCGAAUUCCAACGCAUGGUUUUGACCUACAACACUUUAGACAUCUCAGGACUGCAAUACCUCAAGGUCCACUUUUCCUUACAUGAACCAACCCAGACCCUGCAAUCAUCAUCUGAGGCCCUUCUUUAGGGUUGCCAAAUGUCUGGGAAAUCCCAGACGUGUCCCCUUUUGGGGGGCCAACAUGCCCAUUGGGGAAUUUUUACAUUUGAAAGGAAAUGUCCAGGUGUAUAUUUAUUUGAUUGGUGUGUUGUUGUUGUUUUGCUUGGGUGCGGUUACGUCCUGGCUCGGGUUGGCAGUGGCCCUGGUAGUCCUCAUUUUUGCUCUUUAAGAUAUGGCAACCCUACCUUCUUUAUGUGUCCCCCUCCAUGAGAGGUCUGGAAGGAGGCAGCAAAAGAGAGGGUGUUUUCUGAGGUGGCUCCCCAUUUGUGGAAUUCUCUCCCAGGAAGGCUCUCCUGGCACCCUCAUUAUAUAUAUUUAGGCCCUGGGUGAAAACAUUCCUCUUCAAUGAGGCCUUUGGCUGAUAAAACAACCUAUGGCCUCUGAAAUGUGUUUGUUGGGAGGGGGGUUGUCAUUGUUUUGUUAUGUAUUUUGUGUUUUCAUUUAGUAUUUUCAUGUUGUAAGCCACCCUGUGAUCUUUGGGUGAAGGGGUGGGGGUAUCCAUUUAAUACAUAUUUUAUAUUAUUUUUUAAAGUGAAAUCUCAGUGUAGCAGGGUCUGUAACUCUUACGUAAUUGCAGGCACAUAGGCACUAGGGCAACAUUGCCCACUAUUUUCAAGGAAUGGGGGGAAAUAUUUUUUUAUUAAAAACCACACUGUGUUCCAGCAUCUAAAUGAAGGCCUCUUAAGCAGUGUUCUACUAGUAGAUAUCAACGGAUAUGGUAAGUGAUGCAUGGGAAACACUCAUGGGUGGAAUCUACAUACAUAUUUUAAAAAACGUCUGAAAAUGCUUUUUUAAAGCGUUUUAAAAAAUACAUUGAAUUCCCCAUAAGGAAUUGUCCCCAUAAGGAAUAGAGUUGUUUGGCAGGGCAGGAAGUCUCGAGUUAAGCUUAAGAUAUUGAUGGAUGCUAAAGAAGGAGGUGGACCUGCCCUGCCAGACCUUUAAACUUCGUUGUGAACCAUCUGCCUUUUGCUGGUUGAGAGAAUGGUUGCUUUUUGAAAACACUGAAGUGUUGGACAAUGGCAGACGAAGUUGAUGGACUAUAGGGAAUUAGUGGAAAUGACUGGCAAGAUCCGAGACCAGGGUGAAGAGUUGGUGGAAGAAGAUUGGAAAAAGUUUAAACACUAUUUAUAGAAAUAUGGUAAAAUUAAGGAAUGUUAGAAAAAUGUUGGAAUGAAAUUACAUGGCUUUAGUAGAAAUGUCAUAAGGAAUUAAGUAUAAAUAGAUUAAUAGAAAAUUAAAGGAAAAGUAUGGCAAGAAUGUGUUAAGAUAAUUAUAGAACAGAAAACAGAGUAAGAUGGAAAGGAAUUGCUGAAACAAAUAAUAGAAGUGGAAUACAAAAGGGAGGUGUGAGGAAGUCGCUGGAAAUAAGUGAAUGAAAUAUAAGAUAUUGAAAAUGUUUGAGGUGUUUUUAAAUUGUUUUUGUUUGUUUUUGCUUGAUUUGCUAUUCGUAUUGUUUUCUUUUUUUCUCUCUUUCUUUGUGUUUGUAAUGCUGUCUUGGAAAUUUUGAAAAAGUAAUAAAUAUCAUUUUUUUGAAAAAAAAUGAAUUCCCCAUAAGGCUCACCAUUGCCAUCUAGUGUCACAUUGUAUGUUGCACUCAAAACACACUUAAAACAUUUUAUUUGCAGCUGUAUAGUGGAGUCCAUGGACUGUCUUGAUAAAGUGGCUCUCAUAUGGCGGCAGAUUGCUGAAACAAACAGACAAAACUGAGAUGAGGGAGAUAUGCUUCACCAGAUGGAAAAUCUGCAGCUGUGCAGGAAGCAAAUCACUAUGGAUCUUAUACAUCUGAAGAGCAAGAGACAAACGGGAGGAAUAAAACUUUCAGAAGAGAUCCAAAGGCAGAUUAAACGCUAUACAACUAGGAGAAAUCAUUGUGCUUGUGAUUAAUUUGGCUGCACUUGCCCUAUUGAUCUGUAACGCCUUUCUUUUUUAAUAAAAAGGGAGCAAUUUAUAUGAAAGCCAUGUUUCAUAUUACUCACCUGGAGAAACUUGCAUUGCCGUCACAGGCCCAUGAUGCCCGCAGCACAGUGAGGGGUGAACCAUAACACAGGAAACUUGUAUUGGGUUGAAAUAAGCCAAUUACAGAUGUAAGUAGGUUUUGGUCACGGCAUUGUGGAUGUAUCUGGUAUCAAGCAACCCACCUGCUGGAGGGUAGCAGUGUGCAGUGGCGUAGCGUGGGGGGUGCAGGGGGGCCCGGCCGCACCGGGCGCAACAUCUGGGGGUUAGGGUUAGGGGGCGCAAAUCCAUGGGUUAGGGGGCGCAAAUUACUUGCCUUGCCCCGGGUGCUGACAACCCACGCUACGCCACUGGUAGUGUGGGAACAGUGGGAGUUACAAUUCCAGUCAGGAGGCUAUUGGGAAAGGUGCUAUGGCCCAUUGGCCCUUGUAUGGACUCUGGGACUGAGAGACCCCUCCUGGACCCCCUAAACAGGGGUAUCCAAUCACUGAAGGAUCCAACUCAAUGACUGGCAGGGAAUGGUCUGGAUCCGAAGAUGGGGGAAUGCAGUCGCAGGCAGAUCAGUUUCUCUCUGAAGCGGAGGGGGAAUAUUCGCCACCCUGCCCCUGCAUCCAGCGUUUUCGGAAGCAGAGAGACAGGCAGACACAGAGGAACAGAUUAGGGAGGAGCUACCUAGCUACAAGACAAUGACAAGAGAUUCCGGAGGGAGGGGGCAGUUGGGAGACACAUCAAUUGAGAGUGUGGAACAUUAACCCCUUUAUUGCUCAUAAUCACUAUUAUGUUACAGGAGCCUGAUUGGACUGUUCCCGCGGGCCAAUCAGGUUGCAGAUUCACUUCUUCCUGGAGCCGGAUUGGGCAGCUCCUGCAGACCAAUCAGAUUGCUGCCUUCUAGGAUCCUACCUGCCUAUUCUUCUAGGAUGCAAGCUCAGUACAUAACAGCUUUAAAAUGAGGAUUCAAUGAAUUUAUGGAUGACAGAUCUACUAGUGGCAGCUAGCCGCAGUGCCUAUACUCUGCCUCCAUUGCAACUGCAAUCACUGGUGAAUUUAUAACAUUAAUUGAGGAGUUCUGGUUUUUUUAGCAGGGGCAGAUGUUAGUAUGUGGCAGAAUGUCGGUCACAAUCCAGCUGAACAACCUAAUCAUCAUCCAGGAGGAGUAAUCCUGUAUCAGCUCCACCCAAGGCAUGAUGGAGAACAGCAACAACUGGGAAAAGAAGGACAUAACAUUUUACAAGGACAGGAGCACCACGAACAGAAUAAUUGCCACGCACAAAAAGAGCAAGGAUGUAGUUUGAGUGCCUCCCUUGUAGUUCUAUAAAUCAUUUAAUGUGUCGACAGGAAUGGAAGUUAUUCAUAUUGCAGUUGUUGUACAAGGACUUAUUAUUUUGAGUGGAAUGUAAUUGAAAUUGAUAAGAUUUUGGAACGCAGAAAUAAAGAAAAUCAUCAAACCAUCAAAUCUAGCACGCCGGGGGGACGGGACCUAAAUUAUAUAAUUUGGUAUUUGAAUGAUUGGUAUCAGUACCCACCAGAUCUGAUUGGAUAUAAAAACUAACAGAGUAUGCGGAGAUAGACUACUUAUCAGAAAGAAUCAAACAUAAAUCCAAACAGGAGUUUGUCUCAAAUUGGAAUUGUUUUAAGGAAUACUUGAAGAGUAAUUGCUGCAAUCAGAAAACGGUAACAGCCUUUGAGUAGUUUCUAUGGAUAACAAAUUUAAAAGGAAAAUUGAUAGAUAAGAAAAUAUUAUAAAUAAAAAGACAAUGGACAAAUAUAGGCAAUAAGUUUUUUAGUACAAAAUGGAAGAGAUGGGAAGUCAUUAUAAGAAAUAUUAUGAUUUUAAAAUUACAUCUUUUUUCUUUUUUGUGUACAGUAAUACUUGUCGAUCUAUGAUAAUAGUAAUUGCGAACAUACUUUGAAAACAAGAAUUUAUAUAAUUGUAAGAUGUAAAGUUAUGAUGUAAAGAUUUACUUGUGAGCAAUAAAGGAAAAACUAAUAAUAAUAAGAUUGGAAUUAGUAAUUGAAUUAUAAUUUUUCAUUGUUAUAAUGAGGCUAUUCUUGGAUUGUAAUUGAAAAUUAAUAAAAAUUAAUUAUCAAAAAAGGAGGAAUAAUCCCAUCCUUCCUCCCUAAGCAGCUGAUAGGUUUGAUUAGAACUUUUAAAAGACUUGCAUUUCACGGUACUUGGGUCCCAGAGAGGAACUGAGCAUGCGCCACCUGUUACCAGGGACCAUUCCUCAUCUGGUUUGGGGCACCUGCAUUGCAGCUGAUUUUCAUGUGUGCACGGCCACAGUUAUGUGUCUGUUUAUUUGACAAAACACUAUCUGCAUUAUUAUAGCGUUUGAAGCCCGCACUGUUGGGAAUUCACAUUCCGUCUAAAAAUAUUUCCCAUUAAAUGAAAAUUACGAGGCAUUACUUCUCAUCACACUGUUUAGAACAGCUCCUAGGCAUUUGGAAACACAGCAAAAUUAUUCCAAAUUAGCAAGGCAAAAGAUGAGGGAGUGUUAAAUGGAGCUACUACUCUUUCUCCUUGAAAUGUUUUAUUUAUAGGCAUGUAGGCAAACCUCUCGCACACCCUCUGCCUGCCCAUCAAUAUUUAUAUGGUAUUAAAAAGCACAAGUUCCAAUAAAAACAGAAAAUUAGUAAAAGAAAUUGGCUGAAACUUUAAUCAACAAUAACAAAUUAGUGUUCCAUGAGCAAUUUGUGUGUGGCUUUUUCUUUUUUUAAAAAAAUCCUCUUUGGAGUAUGUUGGUUUUUUGACAAAUAAUCCGUUUAUAUUGUACAGUGUGGUGAGACUUUAAAAUCCUUAUUAUGCAAGCAUGGAAGGCUCCAGAGCAUAACUACCUGAAGACCUGCCCCCUCUCACCCCUGCCGUCAAAACAGUUGAAUGAAACAUGAACAUGAAUGAGUCCUUUGUCCAGAAAUUGGACCAUUAUCUCACUAACCUGAAAAUGCCACAAAUAUUUAAAAGUACAUAAUGCGCAGGUUGGACUGUUGACCUUCUAGGUCCUAAGAUCUAAUUAUUUCAGGUGCAAAGUUUUCUGAAUGCUCCUUUGACACUGCGAAAUGCAGAGCCUCUGUCAAUAUGAAAAUCAGUGGUCCUGUACUCGCUUCAGCAGCACAUAUACAGUGGUGCCCCGCAAGACGAAUGCCUCGCAAGACGGAAAAACCGCUAGACGAAAGGGUUUUCCGUUUUGGAGUUGCUUCGCAGGACGAAUUCCCCUAUGGGCUUGCUUCGCAAGACGAAAAUGUCUUGCGAGUCUUGAGAUUUUUUUUUCACUUCCCCCCCUUUUAUCUAAGCUGCUAAGCCUUUAAUAGCCUUUUAGCAGCUAAUCCGCUAAGCCUUUAAGCCUUUAAUAGCCGCUAAACCGCUAAUAGCGCUAAUCCGUUAAGCCGCUAAUAGGGUUGCUUCGCAAGACGAAAAAACCGCUAGACGAAGACACUCGCGGAACGGAUUAAUUUCGUCUUGCGAGGCACCACUGUACUAAAAUUGGAACGAUACAGAGAAGAUUAGCAUGGCCCCUGCGCAAGGAUGACACGCAAAUUCGUGAAGGGUUCCAUAUUUUUUUUAAAAAGAAAGAAAAAAGAAAACCAGUGCCUUUGUAGCAGACAGUGAAAAGCGGGCAAUGCAGAUUUAGUAUUUCUUGGUUAUAUUAACAUAAGUAGGUUUGGCCAGAGAGGCAAAAUUAAGAGGAGGGAAAAUGACGUCCCCCCUCCUUUAAAAAAACAACAACUAAGUGUGCAGUUUUAAUUUAAGAAAUGCAUAGAACACCAAGAAACAAAUAGAAACAACUGCCAUCACCAGCAUCAAAUGCUUGCCUGUACCAAAAAUAAAGCAAUUAUAUUAAUUUGUUAGAGACAGAAGUGCUUGACAAGCCAUCCUUAAGGAUUCAUCAAAGGAACAAAUGCAGUCAUAAGCAGCAUCAUUCAUCUUGGACUAUGAGAGCCAUGAAGGAUUUUUUAAUAUAUUUUUUAACAAAAAAAUGUUGAGUUUUUGGAAUAAGUAGGUGCCCUUCCGUUAGACAAGGUCACAUUUGAGGGUUUGCACUGAUUUAAUGAUUUUGCAGAUGUGUGGAAAGAAGGAAGGAAGGAAGGAAGGAAGGAGGAAGGAGGAAAGAUUUUGCUCCUCUCAGAAACUCUUCGGAUUCAUUUUGGAAAUCACCUAGGAGAAACAUACCAGUCGCUUCAAAUAUAACUUUACAUGGAAUCUGAUGACUGCUAAGAUCUUCUGUUAGUUACCUAAAAAAAGGCAAACUUUCUUGAAAUUCCUUGAAUGUUCUGCCUGAGAAAAGAGUCUCCAAAUCUGCCUGGAAAUAUGGCUUAGGUACUUCGGCCAAAAGAAUUAUAACUCACAAAUUAGAGGAGAUGGAUUUACAAUUUAAUAUUGCGACAGGUGGUGGCACCUGUUCGCCGAUAAACCUUGGCUUAACACCACCAACGAAACUUCCAUCUUACUUAACUACCUUAUCUGUGGUGACGCACAGGUAUGACUUUAUAAUGGCUAGAUUCAAUGCUUUCCCAUCAAACGUGUUGGGUAACAGACUCUCCAACGGACAGAUCUCACUCCUCUGUGACUGUAAAAGCGGAUCUAUAGAAUCGUUAUAUCAUAUAAUCUUCUGUUGUCCAUUACAUUCGGCUUCACGGUCCAAGUUUCUGGCCCCAUAUUUAUCGAGAAUCGCUGACAGCCCUCAGGAAGCCCAAAUAAUAUACUUAUUAAACGACGAAGAUACAAGUAUAUCCCUUGCAAUCGCUAGAUACCUGAUUAAUGUUUUAUUUCAAAAGAGGAGAAAUGGAUCACUGUAUGUUUCUGACAGCUUAGCUAAACUUAAGAACCAUCAAUAAGUGCCAGAACUAAGACGUAUACCCCCCAAAAUCUGAUGGAUCGGAAUUGCGGUUUACAUAGAGGGAGCUUAUUGUGUAUAGUGUUUACUUAACUAAAGUAAAAUUGGUUUUAUAAGGGUGUUUUAACUUGGAACUGUGUAAAUGGUAUUGUUUAUGGAUAAAUUCUGAUGUAUUGUUUUCGAUAUGGGCCAAUGGCCGUAAAACUAAUAAAUUCAAAUUCCCCCCCCAAAAAAACUAAUAAAUUCAAAAAUGGCUUAGGUACAGUCCUUGUGGCAUGCUCAUAAUUUGUAACCAGACUGAGAUUUUACUUUGGUUGCAAUCAGUGCCAGAUUUACGUAUAAGCUAAACAAGCUACGGCUUAGGGCCCCACUCUCUUGGGGGCCCCCCAAAAAAUUAAAGAAAAAAACUGGAUGUACAUUUCCAAAAUAUAAGAUAAAAAACAAAUAAAAUAAAACCCACAUACAGCAACAGUGUUUUGUGUUGUGUAGGGUCCUAUGAUGUAAGUAAUACGCCCCACCUGCUAGCCUGCUCCCUAAAAUAUCACUGGUUUGCUCAUUUCUAUAUAUAGGGUGCUUACAUUCUGCAUGUGCAAAUGGCUUUAGAUACCUAUUAGGUCCAUAAAUUACCAUAUAGCAUAUAUUCAACACAAAAACCAGUGACAACUUGUUGUUGACAAAGGACAACUGGACAUAUAAAGGGCCCCGUUAGCUUUAGUAGCUUAAGGUAAAGGGACCCCUGACCAUAAGGUCCAGUCGUAACCGACUCUGGGGUUGUGGCGCUCAUCUCGCUUUAUUGGCCAAGGGAGCUGGCGUACAGCUUCUGGGUCAUGUGGCCAGCAUGACGAAGCUGCUUCUGGCGAACCAGAGCAGCGCACGGAAAUGCCGUUUACCUUCCCGCCGGAGCGGUCCCUAUUUAUCUACUUGCACUUUGACGUGCUUUCGAACUGCUAGGUGGGCAGGAGCAGGGACCGAGCAAUGGGAGCUCACCCCAUCACGGGGAUUCGAACCGCCGACCUUCUGAUCGGCAAGUCCUAGGCUCUGUGGUUUAACCCACAGCGCCACCCGCUUAGGGGCUCAUCAAACCUAAAUCCAGCCCUGGUUGCAAUGGCUGGCAGACAUAUCUGGUUUCCUUUUAAAAAAUAAUAAUAUCACAAUACUACAAUAUCAUAAAAAUGACAAAGUGGUUUACAAUAAUCUUUCUCUGUUAUUAUGUGAGUUCCCAAGAGGUUCAAUAAGAACGUCCAUGUGAAAUGCUUCAUCGUGUCAUUUGCAAAGCAUUGCGCAAUGACUGCCUGUGAAGACACUUGUUAAGAUUCCUUGCCCCCCCCCAUGUUGUGCAAAGUGGAAUAUCCAUAGCUCUUCUUAGCUUGGCCCCCAUAUUUAUUUGAUUGCUUUAGUCUCAUAAAAAGAAAUAAACUCCCCUCUGAGAUGGCAACUAUGUUUCAGCCUCUAACCACCCCUUUUUAAUAGCAGUGCUCCUCACUAUGUGACAGAGCAGUCAAUAAAACAGGUUUGUUAGCUUUAAGUAUGUUUGGGGCAACGCUAUGCUACAAAGCACACACAACCCCCACCCCACAACCCCCAAUGCUCUAUCAAUACUUUGCAAAUUAUAUUGGAGGGGAAGCUGGAAAAACACGGGAUUUUAUCAAAUAAAUUCCCUGGCAUUUACCUUUCAGCGACACUGCUAGAGUGGGUUUAAUUUCUAAUGAGUCCCUUAAAUGAAAACACUUGCUAAUUGCAUUCUGCCAAACUUUGCUGCAGGUUACUUAAUUGUCUAAAAGCAAUUGUUUUAAUGCUAGCUGUUCAAAUUGAGUUUAAGUAGUGGCCUUCCUACACAAGUGUUAACACUGUUUUCAAUUUGCAAGUGAUAACAGCUGCUGCAAGAUCCAGGCGUGCUGAUGCUUCAGCCUAGGCUGCGGAGUCUUAUAAGAUGCAGGUUCAUAGAAUUAUUGAAGCAAAGACCUCUAGCUAAUCUCCUUCGCACCAAAAAGUUGCCCCAUUGUAUCAGGAAACAUUCUGUCCUUAAGGUACCAGGAACAGCCUUACUCCUCAUCUUGUUUGUAUGUGAAGACCCCCAAAACCCCUCCAAAAUAAAUCACACAGGAAACAGGAUAUUUGUUUAGGAUUUUUGGCAUUAAUUUGGCCACAAUUUUAUUGAUUACAGCAUGUGAGUGGUUGCUUAGGCAUUGGUUCGGACUACCUGAACCUGCACCGGCAGGAACAGGACUGACAACUGGAACCACCAGAGGUCAGUAACAUACUGGGGGAGCACAGAGGUGCAUUUCCGCCUCUUGUUGUUGUUGUUUAGUCGUUUAGUCGUGUCCAACUCUUCGUGACCCCAUGGACCAGAGCACGCCAGGCACUCCUGUUUUCCACUGCCUCCCGCAGUUUGGUCAAACUCAUGCUGGUAGCUUUGAGAACACUGUCCAACCAUCUCGUCCUCUGUCGUCCCCUUCUCCUUGUGCCCUCCAUCUUUCCCAACAUCAGGGUCUUUUCCAGGGAGUCUUCUCUUCUCAUGAGGUGGCCAAAGUAUUGGAGCCUCAGCUUCACAAUCUGCCCUUCCAGUGAGCACUCAGCGCUGAUUUCCUUAAGAAUGGAGAGGUCUGAUCUUCUUGCAGUCCAUGGGACUCUCAAGAGUCUCCUCCAACACCAUUAGUUCACCCCAGAUGCUCCAGAUUAGCCCCUUAGUUCACCCCAGAUGCUCCCAGGAACUCUGGCAUAGCUCUACCCCUGAGAGGGGAUCAGACAGAGCAAAUUGAGCCCCUGGAUUCCUUUAAUGGAAUUCCCUAGCAGCAGCAACAAAAAUGAGGGGCAGGCACAGCCAAUCCAUAAUCCCCUAGACGAAAGAAUGAACCAAUGCCUAACCGCCAACCUUACAAAGUUGUGACGAUUUGAUACACGGUAGGCAAAAACCAAAUGGCACCAGCCAAUCAGCCUACUGGGCCCCUGCUCCAAAAACAGAUGACCCCUAGACAGGCAUAGCAAGGUCAAAAACACAACCUACAAUUAUAGGGAGGGAGAUCUGCUGCAUGAUGUGAAAGAGAAAAUACUUCGCCACAUGCAGCCCCUUAAAUAGCCCCUCAUGUGCCAAUCAAACCCCAACCAACAGAAAUUUGCCCCAGCAACAAAGGGGCAACCAAUGAGGCAAGGAGGUCAUCCAAACAGGCCCGCCCCAGCAACAAAAAGGCAGUUUGGUGAUCUCACCACAACACAUGGCUCUCCAUGAUUUCGAGGACACGAUUUACCACAUAACAGUAAGAAGAAGAGGCCCACUCCUCUUCAUGUGCUGCAAGGUGAUACUUAGAAAGAGUCUUUGUUCUUCCUCUAAUGCAUAUGCAAAUAGAGUUGCCCAUAUAAGGAUCUCAUUAGUAGAAAGUGUAAUUCUACUAUUGGGCAGAAGCUUAUGCCUAUUCAUGCCUUAAGAAUUGUAUAGCAGAGAGCGCCCGCUCUGUAAACUCCGCCUCAGAAUUUGGAACUGGUUCCUCUGAGUCAACUUUACUGGCCAAUAAAGACAAUAAACCCUUUUCUUCUCCUCAACGUGCAUGGGUUUUCCUUUCAGCCUGUUAAUUUGCAACAUUAUACAGUUGGAAGGGACCCUGAGGAUCAUCUGUUUCAACCCCCUGCAAUGCAGGAAUCUGCAGCUGUCUCAUGCGGGGAUCGAAUCUGCAACCUUGGCAUUAUCAACACCACACUCUAAUCAAUUGAACUAUCAGCAGUGGCAGAGGUGCUUUUAGGGUGCCAUGCUGCAGGGGGCACCACAGCAAUGCUGUAGAACAGAGCGUAAGAGGCGGGGGUGCCAAAUUUAAGCGUCGCACAGGGCACCACUGGAAUUUGAGAGGGCAAGGUCUUCCACUGGUAGUUGGAUGUGAAUCCAGCCUCUUCCAGAAUGGCCAAAGUAAUCCGUGCUGUGGAAGGGAAAGGAGAAUAUUGAUACCGCUGGGCCAAAAUCCAUUGCUCCACUGGGUGUAGGAUCAAAUCCUCUCUAGAGAAAUAUGGAACCUACUGGUUCUGAUUUGUGGUGAACAUAUUAUUCUUUUUUGACCAAACUGCGGGAGGCAGUGGAAGACAGGAGUGCCUGGCGUGCUCUGGUCCAUGGGUCACGAAGAGUCGGACACAACUAAAUGACUAAACAACAACAACAACAUAUUAUUCUUUUGUAUGUUAAUUACAAUCCACAUCCAUGACAAACUCUGUGGGAUCAGAAAUAAUUAGGAAUUAUCUGCAGAAUGACAAUGACCGAAUCAUUUUGUUAGAGCCUAGAGCAAGGGUGGUGGCCAAUUUGGCCCCCUCCAGGUGUUGUGGACCGCCACUUCCAUCAGCCCCACCAUCUUGGCCAAUCCGGAAGGCACCCUUGGCCUGGAGCAUGCACAGGCCCCUCCGAUAAUCAGAGUAGUAUAAUUGCGUCUGGAAUAAUGCAGUAGCAAAUAAGCUAACCAAGCAAGUUUGACCAUUGAAAUGACAGGACUAUGGGAAUGAUUUUGGGGGUGUUGUCUGGUAUGGUUUUAUUCAAUGGAUGAAUAGUGCAACCUGAUAAGGUGGAGAAGAAAGACUUUAUAAGGAUAUGGUCAUUAACCAUCACUGUCAAUGUACCCCAUGAUGUACUGCUGUUGUUUUUUGAAAAAAAGGGAGGGUGAAGCUUUUUAGUCUUUUUUGUUAAGAUAGUUGAAAUGACCUGUAUUUCCCAUUUGCUGAGAGGCACCCUGCUCCCAUGUGUCAUGACAAACUGCUCAGGGAAGUGAAUGGGGGAGAUGAUGAGAAUUAUUAUUAUUAUAGCAGGUGGGGGCUUUUAAUGUGCAUUUAUUUCCAAGCCCUAGAGCCAGCAGGGGCUUUGAACAGGAAUUAACAUGAGCGACAUCCGCCUGGCUAGCAUUUUAAAUGGAGAGCCAUGCACAGCUAACUCAUCCUUCCGCUUCCCAUCCCUUCUGCAUGGAUCAGACAUCAUCAUCUUCAAGCAACAGAUGGAGGAGAUGCCCAUCUAUUUUUAUGGCAGUUGCCACCAUAAGUUCUUUAUGUUGAUUGUCGUUUUGCAUUGCUUUGAUGCAAUCAAAUUUGCACAAUGUUGAGUCUGAUGGAGUCCGGCGUAUGCCUAUGCGGACAGGCUGCAUAAACUUAAUAAAUAAUAAUUUGUGGUUUAUAUAUGCGGAUGCCAAUUUAUUCAUUCCAUUAAUCCUUCAUAAGCCCAUUAAAGUCAUAGAUAAUUAGGUUGGCCCAUUAGGGGAACAAAUCUAAAAGCCACAGCAAGGCAAUAUUGUUUUUAGAACCUAUUUAGUUGCUCGUAAUAAAGUUAUUACCAUUAUUGUGGCAUAAGCUCUUUGUACAUAUUUGACUCAGCUAAUUGUUCGCAAGGCUAGUUUGCUGGGCGAUAGGAUUUCUUCAGUGCGAGUACAUGAAAACUCCUCAGGACCCGCUGCCAGAUCUGUAACAAGCACAACUUUGAAAAGUAAUAACGGCGGACAUUGUGUCGUGUUUUGGCCCAAUGAAAGCUCUACGUGUGGGAGGGCUCCUGUAGCUUAUGCCACCGAGAAGAGCCAACAGAUGGAGAAUAACAUUAAAUCUGCAGGAAGUCGGUUGUCUUUGUAAAAGGUGUGCUUGUUUUAUUCUUGCUGGAGGCAAGAGCUCAAAAUUAAAGCCGGAGCUGAAAUACAAUAUUGCUCCCGUUCCUUGUAACAGAAGAAAGAUGUUUUCCUCGAUCCUUUCUGAUGGCCUCAUCCAAGCAUCACAGACACAACAAUGAAUUUAUUGCCAAGGACGCCGUAGACAUAGUCUUACUGCCACCUGCCCUUGCUCCUUCUGUGUACUUGGAAUUCCUCGCAUUUUCAAGGUAUGUUCACAACAGGUGGAGACACAGCCAUGAAGGGUCAGAGAGCAGGGAAACAUCAAACAGGAAACACAGUUUGAAUAGCUGAUCUCUGCAAAGUGUCAGAGGCCUCAAACGAGGGACGUUAGCAGCGCAGCCAAAAUGUUUUGGGGCCAAGCUAGACAUGUGCUUAAUUUGCAGCAACCUUAUUUUCCCUCCAGCAGUUACUGGUCCUUCCGCCUUGCCCAACCUCUGAGCAGUGCAAGAUUCCAGGGGUUCCAGGGGUUUGCCCACGGUUUGGUUUCCUCAGAAUGAGGUGUCUUUAUGUGAUAUGGUUUGUUUAUAUAUUUAUACAACCUGAGCCUACCAUGGAGGGCUCACAGCAGUAACAUCCCCACAGGGUCUUGUUUCUUCCGUAGCCUUGUAUUCCAGCAAAAAUCAGGCAUGGCUCUGUCCCUUAGCUGCCCAGACUGCUUUCUUCUUCUUCUUCUUUGCCGAUCACUUGUAGCCGAGUAAGAUUGUCUUCCACAAACACGGUUUUAACAAUGAGUCCGUAAGUGAAUGUGGAGGCCAAUUCUGGAUCCACACAUCCUUCCACAGUGGGGGAGUUGAUCACGGUGUAGAUUUGCCAGGCGUGCCUUCCUGUUAGCAUGUUUCUCCCUUGCGUCCUGAGUUCGAGUGUCUUCAAAGCCCAUGACACCUUUGGGAAAGGCUGUUCUCCAACUGGAACGCUCGCAGGCCAGUGUUUCCCAGUUUUUAUGCUACAUUUUUUUUAAGAUUUGCCUUCAGACAGUCUUUAAACCUCUUUUGUUGACCACCAGCAUUAUGCUUUCCAUUUUUAAGUUCAGAAUAGAGUAGUUGCUUUGGAAGACAAUGAUCAGGCAUCCGCACAACAUGACCAACCCAAUGAAGUUGAUAUUGAAGAAUCAUUGCUUCAACACUGGUGAUCUUUGCUUCUUCCAGUACACUGAUAUUAGUUUACCUGUCUUCCCAAGUGAUAUGUAAAUCACAUCGCCUAGACUGCAUCUAGCUUCUAGCUCAUACAACUCAAUUCCCAACGCUAGCCUUUGUCUUUCUAACUGCCAGCAAGUUAAAGGAGGAAACCCCAACCAUUUGUCAUCUGGCACAGAGCCACUUCCUUUGUUACUUGUAUGGUCCCCACUUAUAGGGCCAUUACCUCACCAACAAGCUAGUCUGGAUAUUCCAGGAAUUAAAAUUAUGUUGGAUCCAGGAAUUAAAAGGGAGCCAGGCAAUACAGCCUACCUCCCACAAUCUCACAACAAUAACGAACUUUCAGACGGCCUCUCCCUUCCUGUCUCACUUGAUUGACUGGCUCAUUCCUGGCUUGUCUUCAGAGAGUGAGCCCUUAGAGUGGUUAUUUUCUCCCAACCUGGUGCCCUCCAGCUGUGCUAAGUCUAUGACUCCCACCAGUUUAAUCAUUCUGGCUGGAGCUGCUGGAAGUUGUAGUUUGAAGCAACGGAAGGGCACCAGGUUGUUGAAGACUGUCUUACAGUUUCAAAACAUCUCAACCUCAGGCUUUAUGGACCUAUUUCGCUAUUGCUUAUUGAGCAUUGGCACUGUGUUUCUGAUAUGCAUUAUUUUACUGCUUGAAGGCAUGUGUUUCUUAUAUGUUGUGAGCUACUUUGGGCACAGGUCCGUCCUUGCUGAGAAGGAAACUCAUACUAAUCUACUCUCUUCACAGCUCCCUGAGUGGUGCUAGCAAAUGUCUCUAUUUACAGCUUCUUAAUGAAAUGCUAUUAUAACCACUCUGCUGUUAGGGAUCCAAGAAGCGUUCUGUCGUGCACAUAGGGAAGUUGCUUGGUUUUCUCACAAGCUUUUUACAGCUCUAAGGGCUGCACAAGAUACAAAUCUAAUAGGCGAAGCUUCCCUCAAACUUUGUGGGAUUUCCACUGCCUCACCUGAAGCUCUUAAAAGCACAGGAGACCUAUUAAGAGAAGAGGUGGAUAUCCUACUUAUCACCUAGAAUCUGCAACCUAAGGUAUCCUUCUAGGCUACAAGGUGGCAGCAGGACUGCUGAAUUUUCUUUAGCAGCUGCUCUCCUCUGAGCUUAUCAGUAGCCUGACAUGUAACAUGUAAGCUGGUAAAAGAGUCCUUAUGCUCUUAAUAUUGACUUCCCUUGAUCACAGCGGGACUUCCUUUUGAGUUUGCUUGCAGAAGGGAAAAGUCACAAAACGCAGGAACUCUCUGAGUAUGAGGACGUUUUAUUAGCAAUUCUAAUGGAAGGAGCCAGUGUGAUACAGUGGUUAGGCUUCCUAAACCUCGGCCCUUCAGAUGUUUUGAGACUACAGUUCCCAUCAUCCCUGACCACUGGUCCUGCUAGCUAGGGCUCAUGGGAGUUAUAGGCCAAAUAAAUCUGGAGAGCCGAGGUUGAGGAAGCCUGGGUUAGAGGGAGACUCAGGUCCAAAUCUCCAUACGGCCAUUAACCUCGAUGAGUGAUCUUGAGCCAGUUCACUCACUCUCAGCCUAACCUACUUCACAGGGUUGUUGUGGUGAUAAAAUGGGGAAGAGAACCUUGGGAUCCUUGGAGGAAAGGUGCAAAAAGAAGUAUAGUGUCGAGAUCAAGGGAAGGAAUAGUACCAAUCUAUUCUGCCUUGGUCAGAUCACACCUAGAGUAAAGGUAAAGGGACCCCUGACCAUUAGGUCCAGUCGCGGACGACUCUGGGGUUGCGGUGCUCAUCUCGCUUUAUUGGCCGAGGGAGCUGGCGUACAGCUUCCAGGUCAUGUGGCCAGCAUGACUAAGCCAUUUCUGGUGAACCAGAGCAGCACACGGAAACACCGUUUACCUUCCCGCCGGAGUGGUACCUAUUUAUCUACUUUCACUUUGGCGUGCUUUCGAACCGCUAGGUUGGCAGGAGCAGGGACCGAGCAAUGGGAGCUCACCCCAUCGUGGGGAUUCGAACUGCCAACCUUCUGAUCGGCAAGCCCUAGGCUCUGUGUUUUAACCCACAGCGCCACCUGCAUCCCUCACACCUAGAGUACUGUGCCCAAUUCUGGGUUAGGAAGGAUGUUGACAAGCUGGAAUGUGCAGAGCAGGGCAACUAAGAUGAUCAAAGGUCCAGAAGCCAAGCCUUAUGAGGAAUGGUUGAAGGAGCUGGGUAUGUUUAGCCUGGAAAAGAGGAGACUGAGAGGAGAUAUGAUAGCCAUCUUCAAAUAUCUCAAGGGCUGUCACAUGGAGGAGGGAGCAAGCUUGUUUUCUCCUGCUCUGGAGGGUAGGACUCAAACCAAUGGCUUCAAGUUACAAGAAAGGAGAUUCCGACUAAGCAUACGGAAAAACUUUCUGAUAGUAAGAGCUGUUCAACAGUGGAACAUGCUCCUUUGGGAGGCUGUGGACUGUCCUUCCUUGGAGGUUUUUAAGUAGAGGUUAAAUCUGGAUGCUUUAGUUGAGAUUCCUGCAUUGCAGGGGGUUGGAUUAGAAGGAAGGAAGGAAGGAAGGAAGGAAGGAAGGAAGGAAGGAAGGAAGGAAGGAAGGAAGGAAGGGUUCCCAAGGAUCUCUUGCAAACAGCAAAUUGAUGUAGAAACAGUGGUCUGACUGAUUUCAACUGCCUUGCCUCCACGCCUGCAAUUGGGCGGUCAGGAUCCUUGCUGUACACCCCACCAAGCUCCGUGUAAGCUGCCUUGAGCCAUUAAAAGCUGUGGCACUUUCAAAAGCCAUUUACUGUCUUGGUUUAAUUGCUGCUCUUCUCCUCCCUGCACACUGCGGACACAAAUGGUCUUGCAACUUAAUCUGGUUUUGACUGAAUUUGAGGUGUCAGGUCUUUUCAUACAUUUCAGCCCUGAAUUCUCCAGGGGGAGAAGCUAGCUGUCAAGCAAUACGGAUGGCAUGCCACGUUCUGGAACAAGGAAAAAGAAAUGUGCAUAGGCUGAGGGAGAAAUCUGAUAUAUGUCAAGCAAAACAAAAGACUCAGAACCCAGCAACCAGCUAAACAAAUUAAGGAAUGGCUUCCAGCAAAUUUUGUUCAAGACAAACAAAAAUUAGAUACUGAAUAUUAUUGAAUUGACCAAUCUGAGCUAUAAUGGACCGUUUUGAUUAAUUUGAUAGUGCAUUGUUGAUGUUUCCCCUUUGCCUUUCUCACAGCAUUUGGAUAAGUGAGCAGAGGGAAGGAAAAUCCCUGUUUUCAUUUUUUAAAUGAAAUUCCAAAUGCCUUUAUUUUCUGUCUUCCAUGUUAGUUUAUAAUUGAAAUUCUGUCAAUAUAAUAUUUGUUUAUAUAUAAAAUAGUGAUUUCCCACCUUUGGGAAGGAGGCAGUGGUAGGGCUGGAGGCAGUGGUUAGGGGAGUGGGGAUUUUGAGAUGGCACAGGGCCCUAUAGUACCCAAGUCCGCCACUGCUGGGGCACACUUUAACCUGGAGAGUCAACAUUUAGGAGAUUGAAAUUGUUCAUCAUUUCAGAUAGCAUUUGAACCUUUUGUUACACAACGAGGGAGAACUGUCAGUUUGCAUUUUUAAAAAUAAUUUAUUUAACAUAAUUAUUACAAAAUAUAAGCAAAAUAUUGAAAAUACAUACAUAUAUAUAUACAUACAUACAUACAUACAUAUUUCAGAUAAGCGCACAUAUAUAAAAAAGAACAAAAGAGAAAAAAGGAGAAAAGGAAAAAAGGAAAAAGGAGAAGAAAAGUUGGAAAAAUUUCUUCCAAAUUUCUUCUACAAAUAUCUCAAUAUGAAAAUAUUAACAAAAUUUCAUUGAUUGACUUCCAUCACUUACAAAGCACUUCCUAUAUACAUUUCAAGCAAGAUUGUAUCUGUUAUUCCGUAUUUUCCCAUACAAUCUCAUACAAAUAUUCUAAUCAAGAAGUUUUUUAGAUCUUUCAGUAAUCUAUUCUAAACACAACCAAUACUUUACAUUUAAUCUUUGUCUACAUAAAUAAUCAUUUAAAUAUUUCCAUUGUUUCUGGAUUAUAUUUUUUGGUUUUUGUCUUAUCAAAUCAGUCAACUUAAUCAGCUGGCUUAAACUGGUUCAGUUAUCUCAUCUGUCAGGGUCAUGCUGACUGUCAGUAUAUGAGAACAUCGCAGCUGCAGACAGCCAGCUUGUUGACAUCACAAGAUGCGGCUAGCUGUGGGAAAGAAGAUUCCCGGAAGUUCACAGGCUUCUCAGAGCUCUGUGAAGAGUGUAAUUUGAGACCUUCCGUUUGCGUAUGUACAGGAAGUUUGUCAGUCUUGCUAGAUGAAGUUUGAAGUGGUCGGACAUGAUUUCUGUAGUGCUGUAAUGUCAGAAGUAAACAUCAUGUAAAUAGAUUUCUGACUACUCUUCUUUCCCUGCUAGGGAAGCAGGAGGAAUCAUAGAAUCAUAGAAUCAUAGAAUCAUAGAGUUGGAAGAGACCACAAGGGCCAUCGAGUCCAACCCCCUGCCAAGCAGGAAACACCAUCAGAGCACUCCUGACAUAUGGUUGUCAAGCCUCUGCUUAAAGACCUCCAAAGAAGGAGACUCCACCACACUCCUUGGCAGCAAAUUCCACUGUCGAACAGCUCUUACUGUCAGGAAGUGCUUCCUAAUGUUUAGGUGGAAUCUUCUUUCUUGUAGUUUGGAUCCAUUGCUCCAUGUCCGCUUCUCUGGAGCAGCAGAAAACAACCUUUCUCCCUCCUCUAUGUGACAUCCUUUUAUAUAUUUGAACAUGGCUAUCAUAUCACCCCUUAACCUCCUCUUCUCCAGGCUAAACAUGCCCAGCUCCCUUAGCCAUUCCUCAUAAGGCAUCGUUUCCAGGCCUUUGACCAUUUUGGUUGCCCUCCUCUGGACACGUUCCAGUUUGUCAGUGUCCUUCUUGAACUGUGGUGCCCAGAACUGGACACAGUACUCCAGGUGAGGUCUGACCAGAGCAGAAUACAGUGGCACUAUUACUUCCCUUGAUCUAGAUGCUAUACUACUAUUGAUGCAGCCCAGAAUUGCAUUGGCUUUUUUAGCUGCCGCGUCACACUGUUGGCUCAUGUCAAGUUUGUGGUCAACCAAGACUCCGAGAUCCUUUUCACAUGUACUGCUCUCAAGCCAGGUGUCCCCCCUCUUGUAUUUGUGCCUCUCAUUUUUUUUGCCCAAGUGCAAUACUUUACAUUUCUCCCUGUUAAAAUUCAUCUUGUUUGUUUUGGCCCAGUUCUCUAAUCUGUCAAGGUCGUUUUGAAGUGUGAUCCUGUCCUCUGGGGUGUUAGGCACCCCUCCCAGUUUGGUGUCAUCUGCAAAUUUGAUCAGGAUGCCCUUGAGUCCAUCAUCCAAGUCGUUGAUAAAGAUGUUGAAUAAGACCGGGCCCAAGACAGAACCCUGUGGCACCCCACUAGUCACUCUUCUCCAGGAUGAAGAGGAACCAUUGAUGAGCACCCUUUGGGUUCAGUCAGUCAGCCAGUUACAAAUCCACUGAGUGGUAGCAUAGUCAAGACCGCAUUUUACCAGCUUCUUUACAAGAAUAUCAUGGGGCACCUUGUCAAAUGCCUUGCUGAAAUCAAGGUAGGCUACAUCCACUGCGUUCCCUUCAUCUACCAGGCUUGUAAUUCUGUCAAAAAACGAGAUCAGGUUAGUCUGACCGGACUUAUUUUUCAGAAAUCCAUGCUGACUAUUGGUGAUCACAGCAUUCCUUUCUAGGUGCUCACAGACUGUUUGCUUAAUGAUCUGCUCCAGAAUCUUCCCUGGUAUUGAUGUCAGACUGACUGGGCGGUGUGCAUUUACCCACGCUGGGAAAAUGUCGCCUAUCAAAAUCUCCCUGAUCUGUCCGGGAAGUCAGCCAGAGGAGGUUACUGGUAAACGAGCUCCGAGAGCAGUGAGAGGGGCCAGCCUCUCCGGAGGGGGCUUGUAAACCAACACUGACUAGUAAAAUAAGAGGCCAGAAGGAGCCUGGAUUUCACGUUCUCUUUCUAUCUCUCUUUCCUUCUGGUGUGGUGUUCUGUAUACAGUGGUAUCUUGGUUUGCAUAUGUUUUGGAUUACAAACACGUCAAACCCGGAAGUGCGUGUCCCAGUUUGCAACCUUUUUUUUGGAUUACAAACAUUUUUUUUUUUUUUUGGAGGCCUCAUUGAUGAAAGCGCGCCUUGGUUUACAACCUGUUUUGGUUUACAAAUGGACCUCCGGAACGGAUUAUGGUUGUGAACCAAGGUACAACUGUAUAGUGUUAAGCUUUAGACUUAUUAUAAGUUAUUGUAAAUUAAAGUUAAGUCUGCCGCAACUGGAUUUCUUAUGGACAGUGUCAAUUCUGAAUGUAUUGGAUUUGUGACCAUUAUUCUCAUUUGCCUUCAGUAGCAGUAAAGCUCUGCUGGAUGAAAUAUAAUUGCCUCUGGUCUAUUUUUUGGGAAUCCUGCAAUGUUUUUAAGUUUUUACUCUGCUAACCAGUGCUUUUUUUCUGGGGGAAGCAGGGGUAAGCAUGCACCUAAACAUUUUCUGAAUCUUUGUACUUUUCUCCAUUUACUGUAUUUAUUCUUCCUGAUAUGAACUAUAAAAUGGUGAUUUUCUUGAGUCAAAAUGAGAGUAUCCCUAAACAUUUAUUUAUUUAUUUAGGAAAAAAGCACUGCUGCUAACUACACGCUAGAAUCUGCUCUGGAUCAAUACUGAGUAGAAUUCCAUGACAAAAACCAGACAUUUCCCUUCUCAGAUUUCUUAGUAUAUUGCAGAGGUUAUGCAGAUCUUACAGCAAAAUAUUUCUUUGUAUAACUCCUUUCCUCCUUUGAGCUCAGUGUUUGAUAAUUGGGAUUUUGAUCUCUAAAUAGCCUCAUUAGCUUCAAGAGAGUGAGAAUAUCAGGUACCUUGUUUAUUUUAUCUGAGGAGUGGAUAUGCCACCAUUCCGUAUUUCUACUCCCAGGGUGGCUCACAGAGCAAUAACAAACAAUUAAAACAAUAAAAUCAGUAUGUCAAACGUGUAAAUUAAAACAGCGGGAACAAUGAAAGCAUAGCAAUAGCAAAAUAACAUUUGUUUAGAGAAUGUUUAGGAAAGCAUUCUUUAAAUUCUUUAAAAAUGUAUGUCUGGGACUGCCCAAAAAAGGUUUUUAAUUUUGUCUCCUAGGCAAAGAAAGAACAGAGAUGGAUUCACAUGGCCCAUCAAAUUAUCCCAAUAGUUUGGACCACCAGCAGAACAUUGUAGUUCUAGAGUUGGAUGCCUUAAGGUCACCAAGGGGAUGCUGGAACUGGAAACCACAAAUGGGCAAACUUUGACUGUUUGAAUAUCUGUAUCUGUGGUCUGUAUAAAAGGGUUGUUGUUGUUGUUUUUUUAAAAAAAGGUGUAGGACCCCUGGAUGGUUAAGUCCAGUCAAAGGUGACUAUGGGGUUGUGGCGCUCAUCUCACUUUCAGACUGAGGGAGCCGGCGUUUGUCCACAAACAGCUUUCCGGGUCAUGUGGCCAGCAUGAUUAAAACGCUUCUGGUGCAACAGAACACCGUGAUGGAAAUCAGAGCGCACGGAAACGCCAUUUACCUUAUCGCCGCAGUGGUACCUAUUUAUCUGCUUGCACUGGUGUGCUUUCAAACUGCUAGGUUGGCAGGAGCUGGGACAGAGCAAUGGGAGUUCACCCCAUCAUGGGGAUUCGAACUACCAACCUUCCCAUCAGCAAGCCCAAGAGGCUCAGUGGUUUAGACCACAGCGCCACCCGCGUCCCUUGAUAGGGAGGUUUGGGCAUAAUUCUUUGUUUGGAUAACUGAACUUUCACUUGAUAAGCAGGCCGAUAGUGGGUCCCUGCAUGUGCUUCCUACACACCUACCUGUAACCAGCAUUAAAUUAAGAUUCAACUGCCAACCUGGGCAGCCGCUGUACAUAGAUUUGGAGAGUGGGAUAUACUCACAGUCCUGUAGUGAUUUCAUGCUCUUUAUUGCAGCUUGUAAAACAGUGAUUCAAUGGCUCCCCAAACCUCAGGCUUUUAUAUACAUUAUUUACACAAUGAGUCCCGUCUGAUUGGCUGAUUCUGCUUCCCUCCUGGAGCCUGAUUGGUCUUUUCCUGCAGGCCAAUCAUUGUUACAUUCUACAAUCCUACCAGCCUAAUAGGCUGAUUAACUUCCUCUUGGAGCCUGAUUGGUCUCUUCCUGCAAGCCAAUCAGUUGUUGCAUUCUAGGAUCCUACUUGCCUAUUGUUCUAGGAUCCAGGCUUAGUAUAUAACAGAGAGGGUGCCAUCUUGUCCUUUGCUUCAAGCAACAACGUGUCUUGGGCCAGCCCUUCUCUGACCCCUUUGUAUGAUUUCUCUCAGAAAGGCAGGAGGGCAAUCAGGGUCUCCCUUAGAGGCCUUUGCUUAGACAUUAGAUCAACUGUGUGAGCUAUGAGAGGGAGCCGGGGAAUCAAUAGUGCCUCUUCAUCUCCAUUUAUUCUUAUGCAGUCAUUCUCCGUGCCAAACAUGACUCGCAAUUAUAUUCUGCUUCACAGUCCUGAAGUCUUCCCCUCUCUCUUCCCAUUCCUAUUACUAGUCUUUGAAAUCUUGUAGGUGAAGAUAAAAGCACUCUGCUAUUAUUUUUAUUUUUUGUUUUAAAAAGGAAGAAAAAUAAAGCUUUGAUAAAGCAGCAAUUUAAAGCAAACAAGAUGAUAGAGGGUCUCAUGAGGAAUCUUGAAAAGUAUGGGGAAAGAUUAAAGGAAAUACUGCUGUUGUUUUUCAUUUAAAGGACAAGGGAUCCAACGUAACCUAAUAGAGAUGUCUUGACUUCAGGAAGGGUUCACAGCCACAGCUUGCUAUGCGUAUUUCACAACAACAAAGUUUUUGGUGUUUUGGGGAAAUCUUUUAAAAAGUGCAGCUUCUGAAAUCCUUAACUAUUCCACACCCUCCUGUAUUUCACAGAUGAAAAGAGACACGCUUUUAUUUACUUAGCAUCCCUUUAACUGUUGUCUAAGACACCUACACAAUAUUCCCACAAACGAUUCUUUGGCCAUUGUGAGAAAGUCAUGGUGAAUUAGAUGGACCAUUGAUCUGACCCAGAAGGCUUUACUUGUGUAUCAAGAUGGCAAUUCUUCCCUUAGCUGGAAGUUGGGAUGGGCAAGACUGCUUUGAGUGAACCUGCUGAACGUACUUGAUUUGCGUUUCGCAAAACGAUUCACAAAACAAAACAAAGUGCUCCUUUCAGUUAAAGCCUCUCUGAAUUUUGUGAUGCAAAACUGUGACCAAAUUGUGCCUAUUUUCCAAAGCGGGGGUGAAAACUGAAUCCUGUGGUCAGUGCACACCCUUACUCUAAAAGUCAAAAGCAGUAUUUUGCACUGAGCCCAGGAACCAGCCAGAAACUACAGCUUAUUUAGCAGUAAUAUGAUAUAAUCAUGGACGUGGGUGGCGCUGUGGGUUAAACCACAGAGCCUAGGACUUGCCGGUCAGAAGGUUGGCGGUUUGAAUCCCCACGACGGGGUGAGCUCCUGUUGCUCGGUCCCUGCUCCUGCCAACCUAGCAGUUUGAAAGCACCUCAAAGUGCAAGUAGAUAAAUAGGUACCGCUCCUGCGGGAAGGUAAAUGGCGUUUCCGUGCGCUGCUCUGGUUUGCCAGAAGCGGCUUAGUCAUGCUGGCCACCUGACCUGGAAGCUGUACACCGGCUCCCUCGGCCAAUAAAGCGAGAUGAGCGCUGCAACCCCAGAGUCGGUCACAACUGGACCUAAUGGUCAGGCAGGGGUCCCUUUACCUUUACCUUUAUGAUAUAAUCGUAUAACAUCCAAUCCUCAUCUAGUCAAUCUGAAGGAGGGACAGCUUCUAUAGUGUUUCAGUUAAAGGUUACUGGGGCAUGAAUUUUGUAAGCAUAUAUACAUUUGUGUGCGCGCACGUACACACAGAGAGACAUACACUAACAUAAUAUAUUUAAAGAAUGCAAGACCACGUGCUCUUUUCCAAAGUGGUGGUGGGGAAAUAUAUAAUUUAGUGAGAUUUUUCAGUCAGAAACUAUGUACAAUCAAACUAUGUCUUUGUAUCCUUUUGGCGGGGGGUGGGGUUGUCUGUAACAAUGCCAGGAUCUAAACUAGCAUGCAAAUUAGUACUAUGAAUAUAAUUACAAACAUCGCUAAUUUAAUCAGGUAAUAGUUGGAGAACAUGAUAUGGUUGCACAAUGAUGCAUAGUAGAUCAGACAAGAACGGAAAAGGAAUAAUGGAAUAAUGAGCAAAUUCCAAUAAAUGGCAAGCCCUUUUCUAUAAAAAAACAAAUCAUACAAUAAAUUGAACACGCAUUUAUUAACAGAACUAAUGUAGUCAUAGAAUCACCUGUCUUAGGGACGUUGCUUUGUCUGUAGACACAUACAACUAAACAAACAUAAAUUAACAAAACUGUUAUAGAAUGACACAUCUUAGAUACUUUGAUCGUUCUGUGGAUGCAUAAAAACAUUUAGGCAAGGCAUUAUGAACCUGGGCAGAUUUAUCAUUUGUCCAGUCCUAUAGGGGGAGAAGAAAUAUUGAGUAAACAAAAGAAAGCAAUGCAAGAAAUGUCAUUUAUAACAGGGAAAAUGAAAUUUUAUCUUGAUGUUUUAAUACAGAAGUCGGCAGCCUAAGGCCCACGGGCUGGAAGCAGCCCAUGAGGGUCGCUUAACUGGCCCUUGAGCCGUCCCCGAACCAAGCUGCCUGCUUGGCAGUCCCCGCACGCUGCGCUAAACCAGAGCAGCGCAGCACUGGUGCCGGAAAUCGCUUCUGUGCAUGCCCAGACACCAAAAAUUGCUUCUGCGCAGGUGCGAUUUCUGGCAUCUGGGCAUGCGCAGAAGUGAUUUCUGGUGCUGUGGACAUGCGCAGACGCGGUUUCUGGCAUUGCGCUGUGGCGGCCCGGCCCACAGAGGAUCUCCACAGGAGAUUUUAAUAUAUGUUUUAAUAUAUGGUGUCUUUUAAAUUGUAAUAAUUAAUGUAAUCAUGCGGAGAUUUAUUGGAAGUAUAUACAGUGGUACCUCGGGUUACAUAUGCUUCAGGUUACAUACGCUUCAGGUUACAGACUCCACUAACCCAGAAAUAUUACCUCGGGUUAAGAACUUUGCUUCAGGAUGAGAACAGAAAUCGUGCUCUGGCGGCGCAGUGGCAGCAGGAGGCCCCGUUAGCUAAAGUGGUGCUUCAGGUUAAGAACAGUUUCAGGUUAAGAACAGACCUCCAGAAUAAAUUAAGUACUUAACCCAAGGUACCACUGUAUUUAGCUUUUUUCAUGUGUACAUACAUACACACAUACGUCUGGACCGGUUGGCUGUAUUUGAGUUGAAUGCAUUUGCUCCCAAAGUUAGGAGAGGACUUGAUUUUCCUUUUUUCUUAAAUAAAAAUACCCCUUUUGUCAUGCUUAUACAUAUUGUGCUGCUUUGAAACUUGUUUUGAUUUUCAAUAUUACUGUUGCUUUGUUUCCCUCUGCCCCAUAGGAGCGCCUGCCUCCUCCCCACUUGAAAGGGGGGAGCGCUUGAAGAUGAUGAGGCACUUUCAAUACUUCUGAUGUCUCUUUUGAUUUUUCCCAAGUUCAGUGAUGUACAGACAUUAUUUCCCACGACUCCCUGACUUUUAUUCCGUAUGCUUCUUUCAAAGAAUUAAUUUCCUAUGUCUUCAGUCUGGCUUUCUUAAACACUGGUGAUUCUAAUGACACAGAUUGUAAGUUGGGGUGGAUGGGGAUGGGAGAAUGGAAAACUCUGAAAGCCACGAGGAUCUUCCAUAAAUGCAGGACAGUGCCAACAGCAUUAUAAAACUACAUUUCGAAAAUUCAUACCAUUUCUGAUGCAAUGAGGCUGAGAGUACAUUCUAUCGUAUGUGGUGGACUUGUAAAAGGGUAAAAAAGUACUGGGAGAUAAUUCAUAAUGAAUUGGGGGGAAUUUAAAAGUACUCCCCCCCCCAAAAAACCAACAACACCAGAGUCUUUUCAUUGAGGAUAAUUCAGAUGGAAAUUCCCAAGUGUCAAAAAAGGCUCUUUAUGUAUGCCACUACUGCAGCCCAGGUUUUUUUAGCCCAAAAAUGGAAAUCGAGUGAAGUCCCAGCUGAAGAAGAAUGGCGACUUAAACCGGUGAAAUAUACACAGCUUGUGGAACUGACAUAUAGAAGAAGAGAACAAGAAGAACAUACCUUUAAAGAAGAUUGGAAAAUGUUUAUUGAAUAUAUGAGGGGGAAUUGUGUACACUUGAAAACGUGGGCAGCAUUAAGAUAAAUUCAACAGUGUAAAUAAGUUUUGAUGGAUCUAAUAAUGAAAUACUGAAUGGUUUAGUUUAUGUAAAAUACGCAGGGAUUUAUGUCAUGCAGAAUGAACCAUGGAAAGAGAAGGGAAGUCAUUGAUAAUUUAAGGUUGUUUAAAUGAAUAUUCUAAAUUGUAAAACAGAAAAUUUAAUUACACACACACACACUUACCAGUUCUUACCAAAUAUUAGUUCAAGCAGUGAUUCUUCAUCCUCUUCAAGGGCAGCUCAUGAGAUCAUUAGUAGGAUAAUGAUAGUGCUGAGUUGAUAGAGCUCAAGACUCUUAAUCUCAGAGUUGUGGGUUAGAGCCCCAUCAUGGGCAAAAGAUUCCUGAAUUGCAGAAGGUUGAACUCGAUGGUCCCUAUGGUCACUUCCAACUCUACAGUAUGAUUCUAUGGAUAACUGCCAACCAAGUAUGGAGAUGUGCUUCCAAGGCUUGUAUAUUCUUCAAUUGUGACUCCAAGGGCAGAAUUACACAUCAGAAAAGGUAUAAGGCUGCCCCGGGGGGGGGGGGGAGCAGCCACACAGCAUUCGCUUGGUCUGCUUUUCAUAGCAGAUUGAUGGUGCAUAAAAAUCUGAGUUUUAAUAAUGUGUUUCCCCCCCAGCUAAAAUACUUACAUUGAAAACAUUUGCAUUGAAAAGCACAUUCAUUGAAAUGUAUGCAUUGAAAAGCGUGCAUUUUACGUAAAAGUCCCUUGUUGUUGUUUAGUGGUUUAGUCGUGUCCAACUCUUCGUGACCCCAUGGACCAGAGCACGCCAGGCACUCCUGUCUUCCACUGCCUCCAGCAGUUUGGUCAAACUCAUGCUGGUAGCUUCGAGAACACUGUCCCACCAGGGGGGCCGCUAGGGGCGCAUUGGAAGAUGGCCAACAAUACAAUCUCUCCGGCUCACACGAGGUUAUUAAGAGGCUAAUAUGGGAGUAAUUAGCCUCCCAAGUUUUCCCAGGGAAUUGGGAAAACACUGCCUUCGCCUGCGGUUGCCGAUAAAUCACCCCCGAGUUCGAACGAAGGAGGGGGUGAGGGCACUAGGUGCACAGCACUCGUGUUGGUUUUUUUCGCUCUCCCGGACACAGUCUCUGAUCGCGCGACCUGGUUGCAGGAGCUAAAAAAAAAACAACAAUUAGAGAGCAGCAAAUGCACAUGUUUCGAUUGAAGAAAGGGAGUUUAGACUGCUAAUUGAAGCGACCUCUGUGAAGCUGAACAACGGGCUGGAUUCAACAGGAAAAUAUAUCAAGAAGAAGAAACAUCAAAGAUGUCGGGACGUCAGAACGGGACGGAAAGGGGGGGAAAACUUUUCUUUUUUUCUCUAUGUGAUUACCUAACAAUCCCCCCCAAGAAGAACCGUUGCAACAAUUGAUAAUAAGCAGGACGAUUAUGAACUGUGUGGAAAUGAAUUAUUAACCAAAGGAUUUGUUUGUGGAAGAUCUGCAAAGGAAUGGAAGGCUUUUGGAAUGACACAGUUUUAAAAAGAGAUUCGCCAUGACAGGCAGGCUUCGUUGCAGGAUAGACGAUCAAGAGGGGGAAGAAGCCAUGGCUUUGUUAUCAUAUUGGACUCUGUGUCUGACCUGGCAGAACCCCCUGAAAAGAUCGAGGUAGGAGUGACAAGCCUGCGAAGAUUAAUGAGCAGACACUAAGACUGUUUUCUAUGGAAGUGCUGAAAUGGUGUCUGCUUUGUGAAUAUGAUUUUUGGAUUAAUGCGAAAAUACACACGGGACUAUAACAACGUUUGUUUUCAACUCGCUUGUGGAGACUAUCAGAGGUUACAAAGAAAGGGAAAGUAUACAAUAACAACAAGAAGAGAUGAGGAAAAUAAUAAAGAGAGGAAUGGACAGAACUGUGAAUACUAAUCGAACAGAACUGUGAACAUCAAAGCAGCAGCAAUAAAGAUGAUUGGAUCCCUUUCUGAGCUCGAAGCAUGGGUACCCCCAACAAAAAUUUAAAAUUCGGUUUUGUAAUUUGGAAUUAAUGUGAUUUGAUUGGUUUGUUAAUAACAUUUAUUUUUUUAAAAAAAGAGAGAACACUGUCCCACCAUCUCGUCCUCUGUCGGCCCCUUCUCCUUGUGCCUUCCAUCUUUCCAACAUCAGGGUCUUUUCCAGGGAGUCUUCUCUUCUCAUGAGGUGGCCAAAGUAGUGGAGCCUCAGCUUCACGAAAAAGUCCCUAUUUUACCUAAAAAGUGGUACACACAAAAUGUGCAUGGAAGGAUGGCAGGGGACAGAACAGGAUGAGAGAGACCAAUGACAGUGUGCUAGUGAGACCAAAAUGGAAUGGGAAUAGCUGCUCAUUACAUUGUUUUGUAAAGUCUAAUUCACCUUCUGUCCAUCUUUCUGACAUGCAUUUGCCUACCUCUUCUAGUAGUAGCCAGUGAUGUGGAUUGUGGGUGAGGCAGCCCACACCUGAACAGAUGAACUAUAUGGUUGUUCUGUACAAGGGAACUUUUCUAGCAGCAGUCCUGUUCUGCUGUUGAUUUCUAGCAUCUUUUUCUCUGCCAUGAACCACUGGUAUAGAAAGACAGGACUCCUCUUUUAUGGUGUUCUUGUUGCUAUAUGUGCCUGAGCAAUAGCCUUCGGUGAUGAGGUGGUGGUAUAACUCAGCUUUUUGUCAUUUUGAGAGAGUGUGGCUUUAUCUUUUCAAGACUCCAGAUGCAUUUUUAAUAUGUGUCAUUGGCACGUACACAGAUAGUUCAAACAAGAGACUGGCUUUGUAAAAUGAGCAAGCCAUAACUGAACUGUGUGGGCGGGAUUAAGCGCACAGGAACUCAAUGUCAGUAAGAAAAAUUUCUGAUCUUUAGUGAGCUAAUACAUUAAAUUUAAUCUGAAAUAACCAGGGUUGAUAAAUGCAUCAGAGGUUUUAGUGGUGAAGAAAUGAGAUAGGACUGGCUAACAUGUGCAAUCUUAUAAAUUCAGAACACCCCAGGGAAGGAAGUCUUCAAGUUGGACAAGAAACAGUGUCAUGAAGCACAUCGCUGUAUAUAGUAAUGGAUUCAAAUGAAAGAAAAGAUGGAUUUCAGGUUGCCUUUUUUAGUUCCUCCUCUGUUUUCUGCUUCAGCCUACCAGAAAAUUAAAUUCUUUAAAUUCUCUAUCGAUGGCAGGGCAGUGGCAGUUUCCGUGCAGUGGAUGAACCCAUUGUUUUCAACAACUGUUGAUAGUCAUGAAUUUUUCUUCCAUUCACUGCAUCCUGAGAAAUAUUAUGGAGAUAGCAGUAAUGGUGAGAAAAUUUGAACUCUGGGGGCACUUCUGAGCAGAUAUUUCAAAUAUAUUUUGUUUGCGCCAGCUUGAAAUCUGCUAUAGGUCUGGCUGUAUUUCAGCCUUUCACCCUGAAAACUUUUUUUGUUUUGUUUUGUUUUGUUUAAAGGCAUGUUUUCAUGAAAACAGAUGGCCAAAGUAGACUGCAAGGAGUACGAUGCUGAAAAUUUAUGUUUGACUCAUCCUCUCGUUCCACUCAAACGUGCAUUACCAAAAUAUCCGUAGUUGCAUGACAAUUUUGUACACAUUUUGAAUAUUCUACAGCUGCAGAAUGGCAAUUUACAUCUGGUGCAGGUUUUGCAUUAGACAUAUAUGGGAGAAGCAUGAGGAUUCAUAGCAGUCAUUCUAGUUAUCCAUCAAAAGUUAAGCUGGAUUUCAUUUUGGUAAGGUGACUACAACAUGAGUAUGAUGGCUGCAGAAGUUGAUAAUAUGGGUGAGAUUCAAUGUAGCAGAAACAGGCAGCAAGGGAUUUCUCUCCCUCCUGAAGCCCCAAAACAUUCUCUGGAGGGAACCGAUUACGAAGCAGAGUGGGGAGAAAUAUCUCUAUUAUUUAAAUAUUUAUUAUUAUUUAAUGAGGAUCAUUCCGUCCCGUGAGCUGCUGCUUGCAGCUUGAAGAUAUAUGUUCCAGGUGGAGAUUUCACCUACUGUUUUGAGACCUUUUUUUUUAAAAAAACUAAUUUGAUUCAGUAACUUUCAGGAUUUGCUGUGAAAACUUUCAUAGCCCUUUGGUAUAUCAGGCAAUCUCUCACAGGUAUACAAAACUUUUAAAAUACAACUUACUUUCCGGGAUUAUAUUUAAUAAAGCCAUUGUUAAUAGCACCCCAGAAAUGCAGAGCUAUUAGCAGAGACACAAUUUGUCAUUUGUAUUUCAAAAAGCUGUGCUGGUGUUUCCGCACAAUUGUAUGACCUUAACGAUGCACAACAUAAUUAUAUUUUAAAACACCUUAAUUAAAUUACUUGAUUAAUUAUGAUACAGAAGGAGCUUGGCACAUCUUACAUAAUAAAUAGGAGUACGGUCUGACCUUUGGGUCUCUGUGCAUUCAGCAUUAUGUGGCCAUGCUUGGUUCUCCUAAGGCAGAAGCAGUGAGUCAGAAAUACGGAAACAACUUCUGCCGAGACAGUUGAUCCAUUGGGAUGCCAAGGUAAAACAUAAAAUGGUGGGAGUGGCACCUGAGGCAUAUUCACUAAUAGUGGAAGCACAAAAGAUUUGGGAGGAAGGAGCAAUGCUCGGGACGCAAACAGCAUAGGUAUUCAUUUAUUACUUUAUACCCAGGGAUCUAAGCAUGAAUGCUUCUACCAAGAGCUCACCAUGGUUCCCACUUGUCAAAACGGAGCAUGCCCAAGCCAGAUACCUGACAAAGCUCCCACUUGCUGUACUAAGAAUCGCUUUUACAGAAUUAAAAUUCCAAUCGAUACCCUUGGGUGGACGGUACGGCAAAGUACAUUAUGAAGAGAGACUUUGCCUGUGUGGACAACCCUGUGUGGAGGACUUGUGCCACUAUUUAUUGCAGUGCCUGUUAUAUAUAGACCCAAGAGACUGAUUUAUAAAACCCCUGUUUACAAAUGAAACACAUUUGAAUAGGGUGGAAAGGGUGAAACGGCUGCCCAGCAACACUGACGACUUGGUUACUUAUAAAGUAGCACUCUAUGCGCUAGCAGCCAAGAAGAUCAGGAGGAAAGAACUAGAAAAAAAUAGCAGUCAACUGCAAAGGGGAUUCGGAUAUUUAAUUUGGCACAUCUUACCUGAGAACCUUCUGCUAUUCUAUUCUAUUUAAUGCAACAAAUUAUUUUAGAAGCCACGGCCGUGGUUUUAUUGGCCUUGGUCCAGUAUACCUGAGGGAGCGUCUCCACCGCCAUCAUUCUACCCAGACACUGAGGUCCAGCGCCGAGGGCCUUCUGGCGGUUCCCUCACUGCAAGAAGUGAGGUUCAGGGAACCAGGCAGAGGGCCUUCUUGGUAGUGGCACCCGCCCUGUGGAAUACCCUCCCACCAGAUGUCAAAGAGAACAACAAGUACCAGACUUUUAGAAGACAUCUGAAGGCAGCUUUUAAUGUUUGAUGCAUUACUGUAUUUUAAUAUUUUGUUGGAAGCUGCCCAGAGUGGCUGGGGAAGCCCAGCCAGAUGGGUGGGGUAUAAAUAAUAAAUUUAUUAUUGUUGUUGUUGUUGUUAUCAUUGGUGUGGUGCCUGAUUAUUUUUAUAGUUAUUGUUGUCUUUCCUCUUGCUCUCCUUCUGAAUGAUGCCAUGGUCUAUGGCUAGUGCAAUAAAAAGUUUAACUGAAUUGAACUUUAUAUCCCUCUUUUCUCUCAAGGAGCUGAAGUUGGUGUGGUUCUCCUCCCCCUCCAUUUUAUCCUUGCAGCAACCCUCUCCCAGCUCCUAGUUGGAUAUUCAUAACCACUACACCACACACUGACUGAGGUAACGAUGAGUCAGAUGCAAAAAAAUUCCAGGUUUCCCUUUGCAUUUAUGGAUGUCUGAAAAGAACAGGAAAAGGAGGACAUAACCAGGUUGGCACAUGCUGAUGUAUCAGUUGAUUUCUCUACAUCUAAUGACAAGAGAAUGAAUGUGUGAAACUAACUGCCUCAGAAAGAGUUUUGCCUCAAUGGUUCGAAGAAUAUAUGAGCAAACACUGUUCUAAAGACAACAUGCUGAUAUGUCUAGAUUAAGUCUGUAAAGUUGAUUCAGAAAACAAAGCAAAAUAACAAUAUUAAAGAUGAGAGUUACAAAUUGCAAUAUAAAUAAGAAUAUAAUAAACAUAAGAAAUGACAAACACUGGUGAAGGGAAGUCACGUAGGUGUAACAUUUAUGUUUGCAUUUUUGUAUUUUCGGUAUUUGAAUGAUUGUAAUUGUAAUGUUGUGUGUGCAUUGUAUAUAAUAAAAUAUUUUUUUAAAGAAGAAGAAAGAAAGUGUUUUGCCUCUACCGGGUCAAGAACAUACAUGGAAGUUGAUCUACAGUGGCUCAAUUCACACAAAAAUAAGUUAAUCAUGUAAUGUCUUUCACACCAGAUCUUUAACAUGCAUGUAUGAACUAUAUUUUGCUACUCUUUUCUUUCCUACAGAGAUGAAUCCCUGCAAAUGCCAACCUCUGCAUUAAAAUACGGGGAUUUUGUUUUCAUGCCAUUUCUCUUAGCACAUAAACCUAAUCAAAUAUGAAUGUGUUGGUAGAAGAAAUAAUGAAGACCCAAUAAAGGGCUGAGUGCAGGUCCUACAUGUGAGGAGAUUUUGUCCCCCUUGAUGGUGGGAUAAGAAGAUGUAGGGGAUUGGGGGGGGAGAAUAAUAUUUAUUUAAGGGGUGCUGGUUUUGACAGCAAAUCAGCCCUGAGUGCUCACUGGAAGGACAGAUCCUGAAGCUGAGUCUCCAAUACUUUGGCCUCCUCAUGAGAAGAGAAGACUCCCUGGAAAAGACCCUGAUGUUGGGAAAGAUGGAGGACACAAGGAGAAGGGACGACAGAGGACGAGAUGGCUGGAUAGUGUUCUCGAAGCUACCAGCAUGAGUUUGACCAAACUGCGGGAGGCAGCGGAAGACAGGAGUGCCUGGCGUGCUCUGGUCCAUGGGGUCACGAAGAGUUGGACACGACUAAACAACAAGUUUUGACAGCAUUAAUGUCUUAAAAUAGUUGUUUACAUUUCCACUACUAUUUAUUUCAGAAUGUACACUCUCUGGGGCAGGGACCUGCCAGACCUGUACUUUGUAAAGCACUGUAUAUGAUACUAUAUACAUAAUUGAUUACACUAGUCAUGAGUGAGCCAUAGGAAAAUAGGGCGCUUCACUGUAUCAGGUCACACAAUACAGAUUUUGACUCAAAGCUCGUAUAUGGGCACUCUAGCAUUAUUAAUUUACCCCGUCGAAACAUUUCACGCAGCAAAUGACAAGCAGCUGCAUAACAUCUCAGUGAGGCCACUGAAGCUACUAUGUGAAAGUGAUGUGCUGUGUUAGAUGUGCUGACAUGCAGUAGAAUUAUUAUUUGGUGAACCUGCUGAACUAUCAAAUCAUGACAUAACAACUUUCGUCUAUGUGGGGCAAAUGGAUUUUUGGCAUCUAUCUGCAAAUGGCCACCUCGAGUUCUGUCAAAAUGGAUAAAAAAAAUGCAAGUCGCUUCCAAUCCUGCGUUUAAUUGUUCAUGCUUCAAAUAUAGUGCUGGAUUUACGUAUAAGCUAAACAAGCUAUAGCUUAGGGCCCCACUCUCUUGGGGGGCCCCAAAAAAAUUAAAGGGGAAAAAAACCUGGACGUACGUUUCCAAAAUAUAAGAUAAAAAACAAAUAAUAAAAAACCUACAUACAGCAACAGUGUUUUGUGUUGUGUAGGCUCCUAUGAUGUUAGUAAUGGGCCCCGCCUGCUAGCCUGCUCCCUAAAAUAUCACUGGUUUGCUCAUUUCUGUAUAUAGGGUGCCUACAUUUUGCAUGUGCAAAUGGCUUUAGAUACCUAUUAUUACCAUAUAGCAUAUAUUCAACACAAAAAACCAGCGACAAUUUGCUGUUGGCAAAGCACAGCUGGACAUAUAAAGGGCUCCAUUACCUUCAGGAGCUUAGGGCCUCAUCAAACCUAAAUCCGUCCAAAUGCAUUAAACCUAAAUCCUGUUCAAAUGCAUACAGCAUGUGAAACUAGUACACAGCACAUGUUAAAUACCAGGUGGAGCAGGAGCCAACAAGAAGAUGGCAUGACCAUGUGUGACUAAAGGGGCUUCUUCACUUUCUUCGUGCCAUCUAAGAUAGAUGGAUAAAUUUUCUAGUCAUUUUUUUUAAAAAGAACUGCUAUGAGUUUGUGGGUGCUAGACAUUUCUAAAUUCCUGGACCUGGUAUGCGUUAGAAUUUAUUUGAGCCUCAUGAACCCCUGGAUCAUGCAACGGUUAAAAUAUAAGUCAGACCAGCUUCCUUGUGAGAUGAUCGCCUGGGAGAUGAGCCAUUAAGGAAACAAAGGAAAGGGAAAGAGCAAUUAAGGAACAUGCAAAACUGACAUGGCAUGGGAAUAAGUGUCUCCAUCCCUUCUGGCACGAAACAGGCCUGAAUGGAUGAGCUAAUGCUCUUUAUUCCCUAUAAAGGUAAAAGUAAAGGACCCCUGACAGUCCAGUCGCGAACGACUCUGGGGUUGCGGCGCUCAUCUUGCUUUACUAGCUGAGGGAGCCAAUGUUUGUCCGCAGACAGUUUUUCCGGGUCAUGUGGCCAGCCUGACUAAGCCGCUUCUGGCAAACCCAGAGCAGCGCACAGAAAUGCCAUUUACCUUCCUGUCAGAACUGUACCUAUUUAUCUACUUGCACUUUGACAUGCUUUUGAACUGCUAGGUUGGCAGGAGCUGGGACCGAGCAACGGGAGCUCACCCCGUCGCGGGGAUUCAAACCGCCGACCUUCCGAUCGGCAAGCCCAAGUGGCACAGUGGUUUAAACCACAGCGCCACCCGCGUCCCUUAUUCCCUAUACAGUGGUACCUCAGGUUAAGUACUUAAUUCAUUCCGGAGAUCCGUUCUUAACCCAAAACUGUUCUUAACCUGAAGCACCACUUUAGUUAAUGGGGCCUCCUGCUGCCGCCGCACCGCGAAGCAUGAUUUCUGUUCUCAUCCUGAUGCAAAGUUCUUAACCCGAGGUACUAUUUCUGGGUUAGCAGAGUCUGUAACCUGAAGCGUAUGUAACCUGGUUACCACUGUAAAAGCCUUUCAUUUUUAGACACAAGCAAUAUGGCUUUGAAAACAAGUUACACUAAUGGGAAAGCAGCCGACCCGAACCAUUGAUUAAACUGUUGUGAUCUCAUGGAAUGCUCCAAACUAAGCCUUCCUGCACAUGGGUCAUGAAGGUGGAUUCCAUGUGAAGCAACAUUAGGAAGAACUUCCUGACAGUAAGAGCUGUUCGACAGUGGAAUUUGCUGCCAAGGAGUGUGGUGGAGUCUCCUUCUUUGGAGGUCUUUAAGCAGAGGCUUGACAACCAUAUGUCAGGAGUGCUCUGAUGGUGUUUCCUGCUUGGCAGGGGGUUGGACUCGAUGGCCCUUGUGGUCUCUUCCAACUCUAUGAUUCUAUGAACUAUUACAAGCAAGCUGAUGAUGAAGACGGGGCUGUCAUCUAUUUUUCUAAAAGAACAAGUAUCUGAGCUGAGCCCUAAUCUUGAUUUUAUUAGAAACUGAGUUGCCCAGAACCAAGAAUAUGUUGCUCAUGAAAACACCGUCAAUUUUAACUCUGAAUCAGAGCUUGGGUUUCAGACUGACAGAUCACAUUCUUAAACCACUCUGUUCUUGCAAAAUGUACAUUUGGAUCUGUGACUUGCUGACACUUUGGGUGCUAUUUGCAAAGCCAUUAACUAAUUCAGAGUGUUAGGCUUGUCUUUCUUUCUUGAGAAAAUAUGAGUUCAAAAGAAACUGUACUUUUGGAGUAAUUUCAGAAGCCAUUACUCUACAUUAAUAGCAGAAUAAAACCUUAGAGAAGCUACUCAAAUAGCUUUGUAAUUUUUUGUCUUUUAUGGCUUCCCUGGAAAACAUUUUCCCCUCAGAAGAAUUUAGUUAUAGAUUCCACCAGUUCAUAAAGCAACUAGGGCUAUGCAGCAGAUUUGGCUACGUCCCAGCUUCCAAACCAAAUUAGGCAUAUUCAAAGGGCCUUGAAUGAGUUGGGUACAGAUAGCCACAAAUCACUACAGGUUGGGUUGGGUGGCCCAGAGUGAUUUAUAAAAAAAGGUAAAGGGACGCCUGAUGAUUAGGUCCAGUCGUGGCCGACUCUGGGGUUGUGGUGCUCAUCUCGCUUUAUCGGCCGAGGGAGCCGGCGUACAGCUUCCGGGUCAUAUGGCCAGCAUGACUAAGCUGCACACGGAAACACCGUUUACCUUCCCGCCGGAGCGGUACCUAAUUAUCUACUUGCACUUUGACGUGCUUUCAAACUGCUAGGUUGGCAGGAGCAGGGACCGAGCUACGGGAGCUCACCCCGUCGUGGGGAUUCGAACCGCCGACCUUCUGAUCGGCAAGUCCUAGGCUCUGUGGUUUAACCCAAAGCGCCACCUGUGUCCCUCAGAGUGAUGUAUAGAUGGUAUCUAACUCUUGUUAAAUUAGCAAAAUUGUACAAAACUAAAGAAAAUUAGUAUUGGAAAUGUAAAACAAUAGAAGGUACUUUUUCCCCCCAUAUGUGGUGGGAUUGCAAAACUGAGAGAGAAGACGCCAUGAAUCCUUUGUCUGUACAUAGUGUGGAAAUAAAUACGUAGAUUAGCUCUACGAUGUCUCACACUUCUUGCUGUGUUAUGGUAGAAGAUUAGUGUGCAUACAUCAUUUGAUAUAUGUCGCUGAAGCGCACUGGAGAAGAAGGGAAAUGCCUUUUCCAGAGCUGCGCAUUCCGGAGGACGCUAGGAGUUCGGGGGCUGCAAGGGCACCCCAGGGUGUUUUCCAGCAGCCCUCACCUUCAAACAUACUUUACCCCUGUACUCACACUUCCAUGUUAUCUCUGUUCUUGCUUCUGCUGGGAAAGGUCUGUGUGCCAGUUCUCGUGAAGCGCAGGUGCUAAGGUGGGCCUAGAAGGACCUCAUCGGUGUGAAUGAGUUGCUAUGUGCUCAGAAUUGACAGGCUCACAAAGGCAACAGGGAAAUGGUUAUACUAGGAAAUUACUUUUUAUGCCUCUGUAUGCAUAAGAUAAUGGGACGCGGGUGGCGCUGCGGGUUAAACCACAGAGUCUAGGACUUGCCGAUCAGAAGGUCGGUGGUUUGAAUCCCCGCAACGGGGUGAGCUCCCAUUGCUCAGUCCCUGCUCCUGCCAACCUAGCAGUUCGACAGCACGUCAAAGUGCAAGUAGAUAAAUAGGUACCACUCCAGCAGGAAGGUAAAUGGCAUUUCCGUGCACUGCUCUGGUUCGCCAGAAGCGGCUUAGUCAUGCUGGCCACAUGACCCGGAAGCUGUACACCAGCUCCCUCGGCCAAUAAAACGAGAUGAGCGCCGCAACCCCAGAGUCAGCCACAACUGGACCUAAUGGUCAGGGGUCUCUUUACCUUUACCUAUGCAUAAGACAGAAGACAGCAGCCCACAAGAGACAGACAGCAUAGAGUAGUGGUUAGAAUGGACUAGACCCUCCCCCCCAUCUAUGAAGCUCACUAGAUGACCGUGGCCAUCUCAGCAUAACCUACCUCACAAGGUAGUGGUGGGGAAUCAAUGAGGAGGGGGAGAACAUUGUGCACAAGUCUGAACUCUUUAAAGCAAAGGUGGGAUAUAAAAGCAGUAAAUAAACAUAGCUGUUGGGGUGGGGGUGACCACUGCUGAAAUUAUGCAAGAAAAUUUUGGUACUCAAUGGAAUCAAAAAGCACCUCCCCACAAUUAUCCCUAAUUUCAAUGAAAUCAUAGCCCCAGCCAGCCUUCCAAAAACAGUAGCUUUGCAGACCCACACUAAAAGGCAGAGGUCUGAGCCCCCCUGCUCCACCCCCUGUUACCGAGCACUGGAAACAAUAUCAUUAAAAUUGCAGCAAUGGAUCAAUUAUACAUUCAGCGCAGCAAUAAACAGAAAACUUAUGAGACUUGAAAUUGAUUAGAAUUAAUAUUUGAAGUAUUUAAUUGCUUUGAUGCUUUAAUUUGUAUAAACCCAUAGACAAAGAACUUUUUUUUUGUAAAAGAGGAAUUUGAAUGUCAAUUGCAGCCUGUCAGCUUGUCUUAUUAUCUCCUAGCGUGAUCGAGUGAAUGUUUUCAUCUCCUAUACAUCCAGUACAGUACUUGCGUUAACUCUGCAUUUUCUAUUAUUAUGCAGUUUAUUAGAAUGAAAAAGUUGAACAUAUGCUAAACAAUUCCCACUGUGACAAUGAAAUGACAGAAGGGGGAACAUUUCAAGGGCUAAAAAGCAGUCAUUAGACACACUGGCGCUGUAUCUUUUGCAGGAUUGAGUUAAAAUUGCUCAGAUAUUUUUGUGAUUUUCAACGGGGGGGGGGAUCCACCUGUUCUGAUGGUUUUUUCAGUAUUUGAGCAAUGUUGUUGACUAUUCAUUUACAUUGCCUUGUGUUUGUUUCUCUUUUCCACUGCUACAUCACGUAGCCAAAGGUUUUGUGUGGACUGGGAUAUCCCAUGCGGCUGACCCAGGAAGCCUUAUCUUCCUCCAGAUCUAAUUUCCCACAAUAUCUAGAUUCAUACAGGCUUCUGACUCUUUAGUUUCUUUAGCUACCCCCUUUCAUCUACACACAUGCACAUGUUUUCUUCUCAGGGUGGAAGUGGAUGCUACCCACUGAAAUCAAUGGAGAAAUCCAAAAUGAUCAGCAUCCCCAUAUUAUAGAUUGAGCAGGGGAAGUUGGAGUGGCUUAGGUGCAGUUGCUUAUGACAGUCAUAAAGUUACAUUUCAUUGCUAAUAUUUAGGCAGGGGCUGGUCCAGCCAAAAAUCCCCCAUAUAAAACACACACCAAGUCCCAACAAAUGUUAGUCUAUUGUCUCCCAACCCCGAAAAGAGUCCUUCCCAUAGUCUGAAUCUGUCAGUUUGCAUUUUUAAAUGUUCUAAAAACCCAAUUUUUCACAUGAUAUAAGGGUUUGCAAUUUCACUCCUCAGAUGCUGCAGAUGAGAUUGUUGUAAAUCACAUGCCUGUCUGGGACAAAUCUGGGAAAGGAAGACGGUCUUAUCUCUUCCGCUGUGGGUACUAUUACACUGUACUUUCGCUUUUCUUUCUUUCUGUUUGUUCUCUUGGAGCUGGAGAGAAUGGACACCAUUAUGCUUUUGUCUGUACAUAGUGUGUGAAUAUGGGACGUGGGUGGCGCUGUGGGUUAAACCACAGAGCCUAGGACUUGCUGAUCAGAAGGUCGGUGGUUUGAAUCCCCGCGACAGGGUGAGCUCCUGUUGCUCGGUCCCUGCUCCUGCCAACCUAGCAGUUCAAAAGCACGUCAAAGUGCAUGUAGAUAAAUAAGUACCGCUCCGGCGGGAAGGUAAACGGCGUUUCAUGCGCUGGUCUGGUUCGCCAGAAGCGGCUUAGUCAUGCUGGCCACAUGACCCAGAAGCUGUACUCCGAUUCCCUUGGCCAGUAAAGCAAGAUGAGCACCGCAACUCCAGAGUCGGCCACGACUGGACCUUUUUAGUGUGUGAAUAAAUAGUAGAUUAGCUCUCCGAUGUCUCAUGCUUCUUGCUGUCUUCUGCCAGAAGAUUAGUGUGCAUAUACCAGCUGGUCUAUGUUGCUAGAAGUGCACUGGAAGAGAAGGGAGAUGCCUUUUGCAGAGCUGCACAUACCAAAGGAUGCUCAUAGUUUCGGGGGCUUGCAAGCACCCACAGGGCGUUUUCCCAACAAUAAGACCUUAGUGAGAAGGAACAUCAUCACCUCUCCUUAGUGCUACCUUUCAUUUCUGGGUAAGUCCAAUCUUAGAAGUGAGGCAAGAAAUGACUGGGAAGGCAACUUUCAGAGUUGCAGCACCCCAUUUCUGGGAUUUCCCCCACAUUCUCAUCCUCCUAGCACUGACUACUAUUGUUUCAGCACCAAGAAAAUGCCUUUUUUUUCUUCCCCUAGGCAUCCUACACUGUUCAACUGCUGGUUUCAAAAAGGUCAGGUAAUCAUCCAUUUAUGAUUGCCAGGAAGCUUAAUGGUGUUAUGAUUAAAGCAAAACAAAAUAAAAAAAUAAAAUAAAUAAAAUAAAACAAAUCCUCCCAGUAGCACCUUAGAGACCAACUAAGUUAGUUAUUGGUAUGAGCUUUCGUGUGCAUGCACACUUCUUCAGAUACACUGAAACAGAAGUCACCAGACCCUUAUAUAUAGUGAGAGGGUGGGGAGGGGUAUUACUCAGAAGGGCGGUAGGAAUGGGUGAUUGCCUGAUAGGUGUGGUAAACCUGUUGGUCUUACAGGAAAAAGCAAGGGGUGAGAUGGCUAAAAAUAGCUUUAUCAUGUAUAAUGAGAUAAGAAUCCAAUGUAGUUCUAGUUACAGAUAGGUAGCAGUGUUGGUCUGCCGUAGUUCACUUGGUAAGACCGAUUGCAGUUGUUAACAGUCAUCAAAAAGGUUUACCACACCUAUCAGUCAAUCACCCAUUCCCACCACCCUUCUGAUCAUCUAAUGUUUAUUGGAUGGAUUUUCCCCUAAAUUGAUUUUUGAACUUUGAAUUUAUUGUUAUUUACGCUUUUAUACUGUAUUUUAAGCUGUUUUAUUGUUGUUGUAUCACAAUUAACUGUUUUAAAUUUGUUGUUAGCCGCCCUGAGCCCGGUUUUCUGAACCGGGAAGGGUGGGGUAUAAAUAAAAAUUUAUUAUUAUUUAUUAUAAGAACCCACUGCAACAUGAAAAAAGAGUUAAGAUUAAGAGCAGAGAAAGAGAGGGGGUGGGAACAGAGAAUUAGAGAGAAGCAGGCAUUGUGGAAUAUCUUGCUGUAUUUUCUACAAAUGACUACAAACAUAGGGUUAAACAAAAACCACCAGCAUUUUGACUUAUUCCCAGAAAUAGACCAGCAGCGCGUGUAGCUUACUGGUGGAGAUAUGUUCCCCCAGCCAGUCCCAUUUAAUGGCCUAGUAUCUCUGUUUUGUACCAACUGAAAUUCUUAUAAAUCUUCAAAGUCAGCCCCUGCAAAGACUGCAUUGCAGUAAAUCUUUGGCUACCAGGCUCCAGCACCACCACCGCAUCUCAGGAUCUCAUCCUCAGAAGACCUGGCAAACUUAGCUGUAAGCAGAAUCUACAUUAUUAUCCUAGAAUCCCAGUGGCACUGAUUCUUGUUUGUUGCUGUCCUGAGCUAGCUGGCUGACUCACCAUGACUGCAUUCAGGCAUCACUUUAGUACAUUUCCUUGGUGUUUCCUUACUCGAUAAUUUCCACACUGUAUACAAUCCUUCACACAAUGUAAAUGACACCUGGAAAACUAGCAAAGGUUUACUGCUCAUUUCUGUGCUUUUGCAGGAAAACUCCUUUUGCAAACCCAGGGAAUCUUGGGAGUUUUGCACUGUAAUUUCCCGUGUUGAAAUGUCGGGUGGCAUUCAGACAUACCAUUCUGUCCUGUCUUAUAAUACUUCGUGUUACAUGGUGGUAGAAUAUUGAUCAAAAAGCCACAUAAUGCCACAAGUAACAAAGUGUAAAUAAAAACUGAAACCAGGAUAAAAGUGCUGGUGUUAUAAUGUGUGUGUGUGUGUGUGUGUGUGUGUGUGUGUGUGUUGCUUUUGUUUGUUACCAUGUUAUGUAUUUUUUUCGUUUUUAUAUUGUAAACGAUCCUGUGAUCUUCAGAAAUUAAAUUAAAUACAUACAUAGUCAGGAAAGCUAACUCAAUAAUAUCUGCAACUGAAUGAACUGCUGCUCACAUUCUGCUAAUGUUUCAGGGAAAUUCUGUCUCUGUUCAAAAGAUUCUGUUGCCAAGAGUCGGUGGAAGAAGAUUGGAAGAAAUUUAAAGAUUAUCUGCAGAAACAUUGCAAAAUUAAAGAAUGUUAGAGUGAUGAUGGAUUGAAAUUAAGUGGCUUCUAGCUGUACAGGCUUUAAAGAUAUAUAUAGAUCAAGAUUAAGGAUUAGGAUUAAAAAAGUUAAAAGAAAUGGAAAAUUGGCUUUUAAUAGGUAAAAAUUUAAGGUUAUAUUAUAUUAAGAUUAAGGAUUGGGAUUAAAAAAGAGGGAAAGAAAUUGCUGGACAAACAAAUUGAACUGGAAUACAAAAGAGGGAGGUAUGAGGAGGUCCAGAAAAUAAGUAAAUUUAAAAGUGGUAAUGAAAAGGUGGUAAUUGUUUUUAACUGUUUUCUUUUUUUGUUUUUUGUUUUUUUGUAUUGUGUACUGUGUAUUUUUUUUCUACUUUUAACUCUUUUUUAUUGAUGUGUCUUUUUUUUUAUUGGAAACUUUAAUAAAUAUCAUUUAAAAAACAACAACAAAAGAUUCUGUUGCCAGUCCACUUGGGUUCUGCUCAUGGAACAGAGAAGUGCCAUCAUGUCCUUUGCCUCAGGCAGCUAAAAGUCUUGUUCAUACAGUACUGGGAGCUGAGCUUGGAAUGACAACACAAUACAGUGGUACCUCUGGUUGCGAACUUAAUUCGUUCCAGAGGUCCAUUCUUAAACUGAAACCAUUCUUAUCCUGAGGUGUGCAUUGGCUAAUGGGGCAUCCCGCUGCGCGUGCGCCUCUGGUACGCAAUUUCCGUUCGCAUCCUGGGGCAAAGUUCACAACCAGGAGCAGCUACUUCUGGGUUAGUGGAGCUUGUAACCUGAAGUGUUCAUAACCAGAAGCGUUUGUAGCCAGAGGUACCACUGUAGUUGAGUUGAGCCCUUGGAAUGGGCAACCUGAAUAGCUUGGGGACUGUCCUUAGCUCACUUCAUACUUGCCUCUUGGGUGUUUGUCCAAUUCCAGCAAACCGCCAAACACACCCUAAUCCUACCCGCCCCACAUGCCUGGUAGAUUGAUGUUAAGCAAAUGCUAGCCUCCACUCUCAUCAUCCCCAUUUCCAAUCUCACCCAUGCGUUUGAGACACAUCUGGGGACUUGGAGGAGAGCUCUAAGAAGUCUAGAUUGAACUCUCUCAAGGGGGGAGAAAGCAGAGGAAGGCGGACCCAAAAAGGAACCCUACAGGAGUUGCGCCAAAGUUUUGGCCUUGUAUAAUUUUGUUCUAAUUUAUGGCCUUGGAGUUCCCAGCUUCUAAGCUUUGGUUUUUCCCCAAAAGCGAGUAUCUUGGUCUUUUGAUAGUUGGUUUUGAGACAUUCAGAUUCACAGUAUUCACAUGCCUGGUAUUAACAUGAACCCCCCUUCCCACAAUAAAACAACAACAAUCAAGACACAUGAAUGUCACCUCGUGUUUAACAUAAUGUGUUGUUGGGCCCUGGGUAACGAAGAAUUGGUCUUGUCAUUGCAGUUGGAAGAAUAAAAGCAGAAAUGUUGUUCCUUAAAUAAGUGUUUCUCAAAGGUAAUAUAAAGAUCAAAAGAGGAAGCAGAGUAAAACAAGAACAGCGGAGAACAGAAUAGAGGAGACAAACCUAUCAUCAAGCAAUCUGCUCUGCUGUCAUCACAAAUCAUCAUCAAUGUAAAACGGCUACACGCUUACCUUCAUAUGGAAAGUAUCAGCCCACCUCCCAUUUGAAUUCAGAGUGUGACGACGAAAAGGGUUGUUUCGCAAAGUGAUGAAGAUCACCUCAGUUUUUAUUCUGUCCAAAUUGGACAAUGCUGCGAAGUUGCUUUAUGGAAAUAUUUUUUUCCUCGGAAUAUGUAUAUCCAAAAGUUGUUUUUUUAAAAACAUUGUAUUCCUGGCCCUCUCCCCCAGGGCAAACUUUAUUUGAAGAUGUGAAGGAAUCAUCUAGUUUCUGAGGUAUAGUUUUUAUUUUUAAAAUGUAUAAAGGGAUUUAUGCAUAGUUGAAUAUGAAGAGGAUAAAUGUCAUGAGUUCUGCUGUGGAGCUAUAGUGUAUCCACAGGGGGCCUAGCGACAUUUCAACUGUUGUUGAUCAGGGAUCAGGGCUCAUUCUGAGAGUGAGGUUUCUGUUUCUAUAGAGAUGAGCCAAGACAUCAGAAACUAGUAAAUUCUAACUGGUCAGUCUAUGUCUUCCUACCAAAUUAUAGUUAUAGGCCAAUGAGGGGACAGAUUUCUACCCAUAUUGAAAUGAUUGGCUAAGAAGGCUAUCUUUUGUAGGGUUCUAGUCUCUUAUAACCCUAGCAUGUUUGCAUCUAAUUAGUGCAUGAAGGGGUUAAACCAUAGAGAAAGCUGCCCUGCCAGGCUUAGCCCAUUGUCAUCACUUCCCACCUUGAGUAGAAAUAGGUCACCAAGCCCUUGUUAUCUCUCACUCUCCAUGUGGAUUUCAGGAUGUAAAGAGCUCUGAGCUGCUUCAUCCAACAUCAUGGCUUUACCCAGCCUCUUUUGUUUCCAGAAUGGAAUCUGAAACUAGCAUAUUUCUCUACCAGUAUUUUAUAACCUUUUGUAACUAAGCAACCUUUUUGACUGCCUGUGCAUCUUUUAUGACUGCUUUAAUGCAUGGAAAAUAACAUGAAUCUGACUUUUGAAGAGUUUUGUAAGUAAAACAUUUUGUGACUUACCAAACAUGUGGUCUAUCUUUAUUAUGGGAAAGUGGGGUAGCUUAGAAAGAGCUUUGAAAAAGGGACAUUUUGGGACUCACUGAAAGGGCACGUUUUAAAAGUUUUGCAGCUUAUAUUUCCAUGUUUUUCUUUGCUGUAUGUUUUGCAAUGUUAAAUCUCUGCUGGGGUUCUCUCCCCAAAGACUACUUGCCCCAAACAUUGGUUUUGGAUUCCAAAAUUCCAACAUCUUUAUGGUGAGAAUAAUUGUCUAGGCUCUGGCCAAAGACUGAGACCAGGGUGUCUGGUAUGUAAAAACAGUGGAAGUUGGAGUCAUGCAGUGGACAUCAAGUCACUUAGAGAAGCUUAACAAGUCUGGGAAGAGGCAAGAGUUGAGGUCACUGGCUAGAAUUGAGGUAGAAGGUCUGAAGGAAAGAGUGCAUGACUCAAGAGGAAGCCUUCAGGAGAGCUCUUCAGCCAAGAGUCUGUGGGAUUGCUGAAGCAACAGUGGUUGCUGAACCACUGCAGCAUAAGUCCUAUGAGAAUCAUGAGACUCUAGAGAGAAGAGGUCAUAGAGCUGAUUGAAGACUGGAAGUAUAGUCCUUGGUGCAGAGUUGAUCAUGUUAAUUGGGAAAGAGUGAUGUGAGGGAUUUAGUUUUUGAAUAGGGGGAGAAACAGACACUCAAAUAACCACCUCAAAGGGAAAGGAACAUUGAAUUGCAUUUGCUAUUUCAUUUUAAGAUGAAAAUAACCCUAUACUUUGGCCACCUCAUGAGAAGAGAAGACUCCCUGGAAAAGACCCUGAUGCUGGGAAAGAUGGAGGGCACAAGGAGAAGGGGAUGACAGAGGACGGGAUGGUUGGACAGUGUUCUUGAAGCUACCAACAUGAGUUUGACCAAACUGCAGGCGGCAGUGGAAGACAGGAGUGUCUGGCGUGCUCUGGUCCAGGGGGUCACAAAGAGUCAGACACGACUAAACGACUAAACAACAACAACAACCCUAUAUUGCAAACAGUCUUAUUUAAUGCAACUGUAAGAAAGUUAAACACCUACUUUAUUAAGUAGCCCUGCAUAUAAACAUUACCAUCGGUUUCUAUUAAUAUAUAAUCACUUUUUUUUUACUGUAUGUUGGGUUUCUGUGUUAUUUUGUCCAACACUUAUACACUUACUAUGCAGAGGAAGAAAAUAAAUGGUACUGAGAUACAUGGUGGCAGCAUUGACAAAGUGAUAAGAAAAAUAAGUAAUAGGUCAGAGCAGGAGAAGCUAAAGUGCAAGAUACCCCAAACACAAUAAUAAGUAAUAAAGAAGGAGUGGAGGGGGUCUCCACAUAACAUAUAUAACUUCAAAACUUUCUCAUGCUUUUUCUGUCCAGAAUGUAAUGCAACUCAAAAGUCUAAGACUUCCAUGAUGUGAAUUAACAACAGCAUGGAACCUAACAAUUAGUUUAAGCGCAGCCCAAGGCCCUGGUCUGUUAGGGGAGCGUAGCUAGUUUGCAAGAGGCAGCAGAGUUGAAUCAAACCUCCAACUGUCCCUUUGCAUGCAGCUUCCUGGAGACCAAAUGCAAAUCAGCUGCACUGUAGUCUUAAUGGAGGAGUGAAAGGAGGAUAUUCAAGAGGCUCAGGCUCUUCCUUAGACCUCAACCCAAAUCAGGCAUGCUCUGGGCUCCUUUCUGAAACACCAAACUCAGGAUUAAAUGAAAGUUAUCUGUCUGUCUCGAGAGACAAUGGAGUGCGCCUCCAGGGGUGAAGUCAAACCACUGGAGCAUCACAGCGCCUGCUGUGGCUGUAGAGGCUGUAUCUCGUAACGGUUGCCUCCAGCAUUGUUUUUGCUGCAUCAGCAAAAGUGACGUCUCCGGGGUGCAAGCCUGAGCAGUGUGUACGGAGGUCUUGGGUUGCCCAGAUGACAAGACUCCCACUUGCAGCCUCGCUGAUGUGUUCCAAAGCAAAACAGAGCAACACAUUUGGUACCAGCUUGGCUGUAGCAGUUGUCAUAAGGAGGUGUACAAGGAGCCAUCCAACUGCCUUACGGACUCCACUCCUGAUUUGUGUUGAACAUGUAUAAACCCCAGCAACUUAUACUGGAGGCUUGUCAAAGGUUAUCUAGUAACCUCCUAUCACAGGUGACUUCUUGUACCUCUUUGCUCCAAUGUUCAGAAGCUGAAAAUAUAUUUUCAUUGCUAAAUUCAAAAUGGUUCUAAAUAACUGCAGUUGUUUACUUGCUGAGUGCAUCAGAAUCAAAACUGUUUCAAUGCUAUUAUAGAAUCGGGGGGAUAUAAUAGUUAAAGGUGCAAUAUUCAGUAUUUACUGUUUGAAAGAGUUCUACAUUUACGCUUGCAGUGCUGACAAGGCUAAAAAUAAAGCAAAGCAUAAAUUUUGUGGGAUCCUAAGGCCCAACUAUAUUUGUUAAGAUCAAUCAUUAAUGCACUGUAGAGGUGCAAAUAAAGGAAGGAGCUAUGACAGUUCAUGUAAAUGGCAUCUUUCAAGAAAUACAUAGCACUAAAUUUAUGUUUUAUUUUAGUAUCUAGAUGCGGUAGAAGCCAAUGGAAAUAAUGGGCCAUAACAUUAUCAUAAAGACCUACCAUAUCCUUGUCCUAGUAUAUAGUGCUUUUUAAAAAGAAAAAAGUAUUGGUACUCACCAUGAAGUUGUUACAGUAAGUGCCACAAUUUUAACUUGGGGGGACAGGUGCCAGUAUUGCAUACCUCUGAGUACCCCCCAGAAAAAGCACUGUUUGUAUAUCAGAUAUCAGGGAGGAUACAGGUGGCAUAUUUACAUUAUUGUUGUUGUCGUUAAUUAAAUUUGUACACCUCCCUUCAUCCAUAGAUCUUAGGGUGGUUCGCAGCAUAAAAAUACCACAAGGAGACGAGGAGGGAGAAUUAAUUUCAGUUCGAAUUUAAAGCCAAAUCUAUCAAAUCCAUGUUUUUUGAAACAAUGUGAGAUCUGAAACUCAGACAUCUUUUUGAAAUUCACACUUAUCUAAAUUUUAUGGUACCAUCUUCCAACCAACCAGUAUUUGCAAAUAUACAAAUGCUGGGGGAAAUGGGCAUAAAAUUAGUGAAAAUAGCAUUCAAAAUGCAUUAUACAGGCAGUGACAAUUGAUGCACGGUGAUUGACAUGGAAGAGGACAGAUUAGGGCAUGGGUAGGCAAACUAAGGCCCGGGGGCUGGAUCCAGCCCAAUUGCCUUCUAAAUCCAGCCUGUGUCUGGGAAUCAGCUUGUUUUUACAUGAGUAGAAUGUGUCCUUUUAUUAAAAAUGCAUCUCUGGGUUUUUUUGUGGAGCAUAGGAAUUUGGUUUCUUUCUUUUUUUCAAAAUAUAGUCUGGCCCCCCACAGGGUCUGAGGGACAUUGGACCGGCCCCCUGCUGAAAAAGUUUGCUGACCCCUGGAUUAGGGGCUAACCAGGGUGUAAUGGAGCAAGAGGGUUUUAUGUACAUUCUGCCAAUGCAUGCAGGGGUCAGGAACAGAAACCCUGUGCAAAAUGGUUGCCACCUUUAUUAUACAUCCCCCUCCCCAUGAUUUGUACAGUGGUACCUCUGGCUACAGACACUUCAGGUUACAGCUGCUUCAGGUUACAGACUCUGCUAACCCAGAAAUAGUACCUCGGGUUAAGAACUUUGCUUCAGGAUGAGAACAGAAAUCGUGCGGCGGUGGUGCGGUGGCAGCAGGAGGCCCCAUUAGCUAAAGUGGUACCUCAGGUUAAGAACAGUUUCAGGUUAAGAACGGACCUCCAGAAUGAAUUACGUUCUUAACCCAAGGUACCACUGUACUUAAGUCAAAACUGCAUAUGAUUAUGAGAAAUUUUCACCAAAACGAUGAAGAAUUUCGAUGGGAAUUUCUUUAAUGGAUUACUGCAGAAAUGUUGAAUCCACUGGACUGCAGAUUCUUAAGUACACUAUAGUUAUAAUUUGCUGGGAUUGAAUUGUGUGAGUCUGCUUUGCAAUCUGAGUCUGGCAGAUUCUUCCCCCCAUCCUGAUUCCAUGGGCAAAGCAAUUAAAGCCUUGAAUCCCAGGCUCACCAUUUUUCAUUAGCCCACGCUGCUCAGUGCUUACAUAGCGCUUUUGAGGUCACUCAAAAUUUGGUUUCUUCAGCUGACGGGAGGCCUGCCUGGAUAUGCUUGUAGAGGCCUCCAAGUGUAUAUCGUGAGAUUCUGAGCAGAGAUUCUGGGCUUUAUUUUGCAGCUCUAAAGGUUUAGAAGAAGUCUGCAAGAAAAUAACCCGUUUAGCCUAUAUAAUCCAGUUGUAGCCUCCAUUUCUACCUGCUUGAUCUAAGGGAAAAUGGUGGAGAGUUCACAUGUAGGUAAACUGACUCAUAUACAAGUUCAGAGCAACAAGGGUACAGAUGCUUUCACAAACUUAUGGACAGUUUCUAGUCUUCCGCCUAUUCAGCACCGAAAUCUAUGAGAGUUGCUUGCAAGUAAUGCUCUCUAUUAUCUGAGAACCAUUUUAAAAGGGCUUCGCAGACCAGGUAAUCUGAGCUGUGUUAGCUAAACAGAAUAGAAUGGAAAUUUUAAAAAAGGGUAUUUCAAAACAUAAGCCUCCCUAGCCCUUUUGACUCCCAGUAGGAAGCUCCAGUGGAAACGGGCAAAACAGCUGUGGUUUUCGCCCCUUUGAAUCAGUUUGACAGUGAGCAAAAAGCUGUCAUCAGUGCCUGCAGGGGGUGGGAGUCAUGUGGUGUGUGCAAUGCCUAAGGUAUAAAGAGUGGCUGGCUGGCUUUAUUUCCCUUGCAAAUUUUAUAGUGCAGCAUGGAAAAUGUCACAUCAGACACACUUUCAAUCUCUCUUUCAAAUCACUUUAUCCGCUAAAUAAUAUUUCUACCACCUUAUUUCAUAUUGGAAAGCAUGGCCCCUGGAAAAUAACAGCUGGAGAAAAAAGAGCUGAAUUUGUUUUCUGCUCAAAAAAAGAGAGAAAAGGAACCUCUUUUUCUAUUUUUCCCCCCUCUGGAGAUGAGAAACCUUGAAAAGUCACACUGAAUUUCGUUCUCUGAGCCCCUCUGCAGAAAAUAUUUGAUAUUUCACAGGCAUUUAAGUCUGACGUGAGCAAAAGACUCACAUACCAUAAACAUUAACUAGCUGUCUGUCUCUGUAUCAAAGUCCUUCAUCUGCAUGAAUGCAGCAAACAUAUGGAAAAUUUGGGUCUCUUGAUCAUUAGCAGCACUGGGUCAACCUAAUCUGUUCAGGUUGGGGGGGGGGAAUCAGAUUUGCUUGAUCAUGGAAAUCUCAAUUCAGAAUCAAAAUGGAAUUGUUUCCAAGCUUUCCCAGAGAAUUCUUGUGAAUUGCUUAGGGGGAUAUUUGUGAAGAACUCAGACUUUCCCUGAAUCUUGUAGAAGGUCCAGGCCAUUCCAACUUCUUCCUUGUUGGCCCCAACCUUCCCUCUUCUCCUGCCUUGUGAUCCCACCCUGUUCCCCAAAUUUACCUUCAACUGCAUGAAUGUAACUGUGGUGAUCACACAGGGUCCCCGGAUGUUUCACCGUCUAUUGAUCCCUGUGCCACCACUUUAUUUCUCGCUGCCACCACCCAGGCCCUACCUGGUACAAUACUGAGUCCAGUCAGGGUUAAAUUGGAACAUAAACUUUUGUUUAUUUAUUGCAGUUUAACAAGCGUGUGGUUUCAUAAACAGUAUCAGUCAAUUACAUUCAUGGGGUGCCUAUCCAGAGCUAUAACUUCCACUACCUGCUCUCACUCACAGAUAUUUCCUAACUCCUAACUGUUCCUGACUCAGAUUAUUUCUCUACACUAACUCAACCUACCCCCAGACUCUAUCCCAAUUCACUCCCACUCCAACCAACCACCCAACUCCCAACAAACUCCUCCCUUUGCCCCUCCCAGAGCUGGUUUUAUAGUCCCUCUGACUCCACCCCCCUGGGUUCUGAUUGGGUAACUUGUUUAACUAUUUCACCUCCAGCACUCUCAUAUGUUAACGUCACAGUAACACAGGCAGGGGACCCACAAGAUUCAGGAGGGGUGGCUCCUCCUCCAGCCUUUGUGAGGCCCAAAAUCCUUACCAAGAGGAAGUACCCAGUAGGGCUGUAGGACUCCCAGUUCUUUGCUACGACAAGGAAAGGUUUGAGGAAAACGAAGGUGAAAGGAGGGCAGCUCAGAAUGGACUGUUCUUAUUUUUGAGCCAAGCAAAUAUUCAGAGGGGUGUUGGCUUGUAAUUGUUUCUGAAAUGUGAGUAGGUCGUUUCCAGGCACACGCACCCAUGCUCCCUGUUUUAAAACUUGGCACCAUUAUAUUAUUAUUAUACUGGACAUCCUCUAAAUGUAUUUUUUUGCUGUCCUCAAUUUGAUCCAAUAUGGAGUAACUAAUCUCCAGCCCUACAGAUAUUGCAGGACUCCUGUUCACAUAGACCAGGGUUCUGGGACAAUGGGAGAAGUAGUCCAGGGGUGUCUAGAGAGCCACAAAUUUCCUCCCCAUCACAACACUGUUGUGUUGGGGAGAAAAACCCUGUGAGGGAUUGGACCCAGCCCACAUGCCAAGGGUUAGCCAUCCCUUCCACAGCCAGCUAAUCAUCAGUAUAGGAUUGUGCCCUACAUUUACUCUGUUGAUUAUUUCUAUUUAGUAAACAGCUAACACCAGCGCCCAUCCUAAUAAUCCUGGCUGUAGAUUCAUCCCACUAGAAAUUUACAACUUUCAGCAGCCAGCUUUGAACAUAUGAACUAAUACAUUUAUACAUAUUUAUUAUAAAAGCUUAAACAUACAAAUUAUAAAGUGCUGCUACUUGAGACAUUAAAAAAAAAGGACAUGCAAUUUUGCAUUGCAAAUAUACAGUAAGAUUUCCAUUACAAACACUCCUUCAUUGGCCAUGCAUAAUGCUGGAAUUAUAGGAAUACAGUAUACUCUCUAUAAAUCUUUGGCAAGAUACUGACAUAACAAGAUGAACAAACUCCACCAAACUCAUUCUAACAUUCUGAGAACUUGCAAAAGAGUGAAAGAGGACAUAUUACGAUCUGGACGAAAUCCAGUUUGAUCCUUUUCUCAAAGAACUGUGCUACAAAUACAGCGACCCAAUAUCCAAGUUAGAUCUGUCAGGAUAUACGGAAUUGGAAGGCAUGGCUUGCACAUGUGUGAGCAUGGACAUCUGUGUGUGCACAUGCACACAAGCACAAAACAGCUCAAUAAAUGAUGAGUUUUUCAAAAAAGUAAGUUUUGAAUUUCAGCCUUGGAUCCCUGGAUCCAAACAAUAGAAUACAGUUUGCAAACUAUAAGGGACUGAGAGCACUGCAUUUUGAAAUAUUAAUCUUGUAUAUAGGUUAUAAAUGUGCCUGAAAUAACUGUUGUUGUUGUUGUUGUUGUUAACCUGCCCUUCGCGCUAAGGUCCCAGGGUGGGUAAACAACAUUAAAACACAAUAUUAAAAGCAGUUUAAAACAACAUCCAAUCACAAAAAGAAGGUGAGCCCUAAAACUGAAUUUCACUGAAGCUGUAAAGGCAAUUUACAAUGAAAGUUAGACUGAGGCAUUCCUCUAUAACACCACAGAUUAAGCUAUGGCAAGUUGCACUGCCUUGCUGGAUUCAAUUUUAUGUUUCUAACAGUUUCUGGAAGUUCACAAGCAAUGGGUGAAGGGGAUGGCUGCUCCCUAUUACUUACCCCUGGCAUCUGGUCCUCAGAGCUACACAGUUUCUGAACUUUGUAGGUUUUGCUUAGGUAUCGCGGUUAAUAGCCAUGGAUAGAAUUAUUCCCUACAGAUUUGUCUAACCCGUUUAAGAAGCAUUUAAGCGUAAGGUCAUUGCCACAGCUUACGGCAGUGAACUCCAUAAUGUUAUUAUGUAGCGUUUGAAGAAGCUCUUUGUUUUCUCCUGUCUUGUUUUUGUAUGUGUGUGUGUGUGUGUGUGUGUUGGCACCAUUUUAAAAUCCAUCUUCCCAGCAGAGAUACUUCCAUUUCUGGUCUGAGGGAGAACAGAAAGGGCAAAAAUUAACUAGCUAGCAUAAGUACAUCUUGUUUUUAUUUAAUUUUAAAACCCAUAUUCACUGCUUUGCAUAUGAAUCUUCUCCUGGCCAGUUGCCUCCCCUGUUUCUCCCAUUACAGUGUCAAAGCCCUACUGCCAACAGCUGAAAUUCCACUGCUUCAGAAAAACCUGGAGUGAAGCCUAAUUUCAGGCAGUGCAUUUUAAGUCCAUUUGCUAACGAGUCCAUGGCAUUGCCAUUUAAUUUAAUCAAGGGAAUUGUUUAUUUUGAUUAAGUAGCCUCAAAAUAGCCCUGAUGAGGAGAUAUAUACUGUAAUAUUUAUUUUAAUUAAUCAAUUGCAAGCAAGGUAGUUGAUCAAGUAAGGUCUUUAAGUGGCUGACAGUUCUAUUAGGAAGCAAUCAACCUCAAGUCUUGGAGUUAAGCAGUGCUGCCAAGGGAGAAAUUGCAUCUUUGUUUUCUGUCUCUCUAGUCUCAUUCUCUGCAUGUCGGGCCCAAUCCAGAAAGCUCUCAUAUGUGCACCCAGCAGGGCUCUUUAAACUGAGAAAGCCAAAAAGGAGCCCCCCGGGUGUGCACAAGAGGAAAUGGCUUAUUUGCUAGAUUUACACUCUACUCUGUCCCAUUGGACUCAGAACAGCUUACAGCAGUUGGUUCUAAACAUGAUCCAGGUGCUUCUUCUGGGUUUGGUUCCAUUCUGUCCCACCUGUAACAUGUGAAUGUGGAACACUUUCAGGGAAGAGCUGUAGCUCCAUGGCUUCUUAUGCAGAUAUUCCCAGCUUCGUUUCUCCAAAACCCAUCAAAGUUUGUCAGUUGUGUGGGAAUGUUAAGGAUUUGUUGCUGUUUAGUCAUUUAGUUGUGUCCGACUCUUCGUGACCCCAUGGACCAAAGCACGCCAGGCACUCCUCUCUUCCACUGCCUCCCGCAGUUUGGUCAACCUAAUGUUGGUAGUUUCGAGAACACUGUCCAACCAUCUCGUCCUCUGUCAUCCCCUUCUCCUUGUGCCCUCAAUCUUUCCCAACAUCAGGGUCUUUUCCAGGGAGUCUUCUCUUCUCAUGAGGUGGCCAAAGUAUUGGAGCCUCAGCUUCACGAUCUGUCCUUCUAGUGAGCACUCAGGGCUGAUUUCCUUAAGAAUAGAUACGUUUGAUCUCCUUGCAAUCCAUGGGACGCUCAAGAGUCUCCUCCAGCACCAGAAUUCAAAAGCAUCAAUUCUUCGGCGAUCAGCCUUCUUUAUGGUCCAGCUCUCACUUCCAUACAUCACUACUGGGAAAACCAUAGCUUUAACAAUACAGACCUUUGCUGGCAAGGUGAUGUCUCUGCUUUUUAAGAUGCUGUCUAGUUUGUCAUUGCUUUUCUCCCAAGAAGCAGGCGUCUUUUAAUUUCGUGAGGAUAGUUGUUCUUAUUGUUUAGUCAUUUUAGUCAUGUUCGACUCUCCGUGACCCCAUGAUCCAGAUCAUGCCUUGGAAACUCUCACUUCCUUCUCAAAGCUUCUCCUUUUUUAUGUCCAUGGAGUUUUCUUGGCAAAAUACUGGAGUGGCUUGCCGGUUCCUGCUCCAGGUGGAUCACGUUUGGUCAAAACUCUCCACUAUGACCUGUCCAUCUUGGGUGGCCCUGCACGGCAUAGCUCAUAGCUUCCCUGAGUUACUCAAGCCCCUUCGCCACGACAAGGCAGUGAUCCAUGAAGGGGUUAAGGAUAGUAUGAGAGGAUAUAUUGUUUAAAUAUUAUCCUUCCUUCACACAUAAUAGUGAGUCAUGUAGCAGGGCAGAUUCCCCUCAAUACAGCAGGAAGCUAGUUUGCAGAUUCAUUUGAAUCUCUUUAGUUAAGCAAUCCAAUCUGGCUUGCCCAGAUGGAUUAUUCCUGGUGUCCCCUUUUAUCCCUAUUAAAAGAAUAAAGGCACAAAAGUCUUUCCUAAAAAGUUACAAGACGUUUACUCACAUUCAGUUCACAGUAUGGUCCCUGAAGGCAGGCUUUAGCUUGUAAUUACAUAACAAAGUGUGAGUUAAUCCCAUAUUGGGACUGAGCCCAUGUGCUGCUGCCUGAGAGCCAGCAGACAGCAAAAUACAUUAAAAGAAGAGCAUCAAGAGAACAAAAUGGCUGCAGGAGAGCAGCAUGGCAUCAAGAGAGAAAGAUGGCUGUGUGACAUGGCUCUUUUAUGGAGUCAUCCAGGGUCACACCCAUCUCCCUGGUCACAUACAGAGGGAGGACGCUCCAGACCAGUGGAACAGGAAGUUAUACUGGCUGGACUAACAUCCCCCUGCCUGUGUCCCCUCUAGGGAAACAAGGAAUGUUGUAUUUGACUGCUCCAAUGGACUACAUCCCACAAGUUGGAGUACAAUAUACUAGGUUAGGUGGUUCAAUGGUCUGACUUGCUCUCAGGCAACUUCAGGUGCUCAUUUCCAUAUCUGCAAUUGAUUGCGCCUCCUGCAGUGACUGAAAGGGCACUCCAAGGGUUCCUCAACACUUGAGAGGAUCUUUUCAAGGGUUUGAGGAGCUGCUACUAGAAGGGAGAGGGUAAAGAUCCAUCUGUGAACACAUCACUGUGGGGGAAAGAAUGCUACCCCCAUUGAAUAUUUGUAAUAUUGAGUUGGCAGGCCCCCAUUUCCCAAAUGUAUGGAAGCUGUCCUGUGCUCUGCUGCUGAAAUACAGCCUCAUUUUAAAAGUAAAAUUAAGACACCAGCCACCAGAAGAUAUUGCAAAACAGUUUGCAAGGAAUUCACACACUGGCAUAUCAGCAGGCUUCAAGCCCUCCCAGAAAUGUGCAAGAAUUUCUCCCUUCGCCUUCAUUUCUGCUCAAAGAUCUGGCAGAGAGAGAGAGAGGCAUUUGAGUGCCCACAGUUCAUAGUUGCUCAUAGUUGGUCUGUUGGUCUGGCCAAGAGCUUCCCCCUUUGAUCCCUAAAUCAUUACCUAUUUUACGUCUGGGAUUUUUAAAAGGCAUUUUCAGGGUCUUCUAAAAAGGGGGGUAUUCUAAUGUUAACUGGAAGCUUUUGGUGUAGGUAACUUGUUCAUCUUUGUCAGAAAUACAAACAGAAGGCAAAUAUAAAACAGAACAGUGUGAAAAGAACGCAAUUUAUUUCUUUAUUUGCUUUUAGAAGGGAGAGAAAAAGCCACUGUUAUCUCUUCAGAGACAAUCCCAGAACUGUGUCCUUUUUCCUUUUAGAUGGAAAUUAGACACAUCAGAGGAGAACGAGUGGGACUUGUCAUCGGUGUAAGUAAUCAAUGUAAGACCUGUUAUACAUGGAGAAUUAUUCUAUAUACCUUCAUGAUUUUGCAGAAGCAGGACCAAUAAAUUACAGAGUAGCAGAAACAAUUGUUAGACUGUUCAGUAUGCUAUCAAAUACAGUGUAAUUCAAGGAACGGAAAUUCCAUCCUUCCCUCAGAAGGUAGGUCUCUCAAUGCAUAGAUGUAUACACUAUUUCUAAAGCAGUCUGUAGUUUUGUUUACUGCAAAUUCUGUGCUCAGUUGUGCAUAUAUAAUGCUUCCUAAAAUGAAUCAGGCUUGCAUACAUGUCUUACUGUGGAAUAACUUUAUUUAAGAUAAAGGUAAAAACAUGAAGGCAGAGGAGAUUAAUGUGAAGAGAUCUUAGAGUAUGUUUAUCAACUCAACAGCAAUAUAGACCACUAAAGUAAUUGCAAAAUGGCUUCAUAGUAAUCCACUUGUGUGAAUAGAUUAGGAGGAAGAGGAGGAGGAGGAGAAGAAGGAGGAGAAGGAGAAGGAGGAGAAGGAGGAGGAGGAGGCUAAAGAAUGUCAGCAUCGCCUUUGAGCCAGUGCCACCAACUGGACUCAUCCACUUCAGCCCCGACUGGGCUAGGCGAGCUGGGUAGCACUUCCAGAGACCACCUUCUGCACAGGAACAGGUCAAAGUGCUGUGGACUCACAGCUUAGAGUUGUGAGCACCGGAUUCACUUCCACAAGAAGACAGUCGUCGCACAGCAGAGUACAGCAGACUCUAGCAGAGUAUAUAAACAACUCGGAGAGCAGCUCUGUAGAAUAUCUUCUUUAUUCUAUCUACAACUAUUAUACAACUAUAUACAGAGCUAAAUAGGUCUAAGCAUAAAUGAAUGCUGCACUGCACUGAGUGUCUGCAGCUGCUCUUAGCAGCAACCUUAUCUCUACACACGAUCUCUAACACUCAGUCUCUCUCUCUCUUUCCGACACUGACUGACUGACUUGGUGCUGGAACAGAAUAAGUAGAGAGCAGAGCACGCCUCCUCCUCUCUGGAGAAUCAGCAGACUCCUCAGGAGAUUCUUGGAUAUGGGAGGGGUGAAAUCUCCUCAAAGAAUGCGAUGACUGAGAACUUUGAGACUACACUAGGACUGAACCAAAACAGCUCACCAAAGUUCAGGAACAUUCAGAAAAGCACCAAAAAAGUACCCUAAGCUCUGAAAUACAAAAUACUUAAAGUGAUUCUGCAAUCAAUAUCUAACUCCUUUCAACCGAAUAGAGGAAUUCUUCAGGAUGUAAUCCUAAAACUGCCAAAACAUUGAGCAUUUUAAUGACUUCCAGUGGAGCUCACAAUAAAAUCCAUGCAAUGCAUUAUAGCAGAGCAAAAUUUUAAAAGCAGCAGUUCAGAUAGGAUUAAGAAAAAUACUUGCAAAGUUGUUGGAAAACGAACAAUAAAAGUCCUUGCUUGAUGCUGCAAAUCAAGCAAAGUAGUAUCCAGGAAUGCAUCCCCAUGGAGCAAGUUCCAUAAGCAAAGUGUCACUACAAAAAUGGUUCCUCCGAGGAUAACCACUUGCUUCUCCUUAGAUGGCAGAAGCACCUGGAGGAGUAUUGCUUUUCGUUGUGUUCAGAAAUGUAUCAGAAGCUAGCGUAGUUCUUCAAGUACUGGUGUAAUAAAGUCCCAACUUCCAGUCCUAGCAGCCAUAUUCUCCAGGAAGGAGUUAUAUUAUAAUCUAUCUAAACACAUCUAAAGGGAAAGAGCCAUUUAUAUUGAAUCUCUUCCCUUAUCAGCCUGCCUGUGGCAAAGCACAAUUCACACCCUUUUCAUGAAGUUAUAGGUGAAUGAAGCAUUAGAAGUAAAAACUGAUUGCCAUCUAAUCUGAAAUUUGGAUUGUCCAUCUUUAAUGCCAGGACUCUUGAACUUAGAUCUUUAAAAGUCAAGGCACAUCUCUAUCUAAAAUCUGCUUUUUUGGCAUAGGUUUAGUUAAUACAAUAAGCUCUUUCUAGAGAAACAUUUUGAUUCUGAACCCAGGAGUGUUGCAAAUAAAUCCUCUGUAUAUGCUAUCAACAUGUCUUCUUCCAACUACUUAAAUUACACCUUCUAUUUUUGUUAUCUAAAGCUGCCAGUUGUUUCUUUUUAAAAAAAAAAUUAAGUUUUUGGAUGCUAUUGGAAACAGCUGACUCACAUACUUUUAAAUCUGUCUGCGCUCAUUUAACUGGUCACUCAGAUUUAUUUGUCCUUUCUGAAUUUCUUCAGUAGCAGUGGCCUCUACUUUGGGCAGUGGCUGUUCAUCACUGAACUUGCUGUUCAUAUCUUUGUUCCAGUUCUUGAAACUUGCUGUCGAUUAAGUAAGCUCUAAUUUUGAAGCAACUGCUUCUGCAGAAGCUAGAAAUUGGUUAGUACCAGUGCAAUCCUAUAAUAUCUACUCAGCAGGCCUGGCCCACCCAUGAGGUGGGGUGAACCAGGUGCCUUGGGUGGCAGAAGCAGAAGAGAUUGUGUCCCUGCAGGUGCCCUGCCUGCCUGAUCAGUUUCCAGCAAGAUCUUGCCAAAAUCUCACAAGAUCUCACCAGAACCCACUGUCAGUGCUUUGCAGCCACUGAUGCACAACCCAGGUAAGUAAACUGAGGGUGUGGGACAUUCCUGUUUCUCCCAAGGUAGACAUGACCUUCCUGCUACUCAGACGUCCCACAGAGUUCACAAGUUCUAAUAUACAGUGGUACUUCGAGUUACAAACGCUUCAGGUUACAGACUCCGCAAACCCAGAAAUAAAACCACGGGUUAAGAACUUUGCUUCAGGAUGAGAACAGAAAUCGCACGGCGGCAGCACAGCAGCAGUGGGAGGCCCCAUUAGCUAAAGUGGUACCUCAGGUUAAGAAGAGUUUCAGGUUAAGAACGGACCUCCGGAACAAAUUAAGUUCUUAACCUGAGGUACCACUGUAUGUUGGAAGUAUAAAGAGAAAAGAAGGGAUGUUUUGCCACAUUGAGUGGAAUUGUAAAGUAAUUAAAAGGUACAGUGGUACCUCAGGUUACAGACACUUCAGGUUACAGACGCUUCAGCUUACAGACUCCGGCGGGAAGGUAAACGGCGUUUCCGUGUGCUGCUCUGGUUUCAGUGUUCAGGGGCUCACUUGCGUGGAGAAAUAAAGACACAAGACACCAAGUAUUAGGUUAAUGGGCGACAACUUUAUUGAUUACAGGAAUGAGCGGUAUUGGCUUAGGCAUUGGUCCUAUCUUUUUUUAAAAAAAUGAUAUUUAUUAAGAUUUCAAAAAGAAGAAUUACAUAAGUAAAGAAAAGGAGAAAAAACAAAAACCAAAAAACAAAAACAAAAGUAAAAAUACAAGAAAAAUGCAAAAUACAAAGUACAGAAAAAAAAAGAAUAAAAAACACUUAAAAAUACAUCAGUUUUUCCAUGCCUUACAUUCAUUUCCUUACUUCCCUGACCUCCUCAUACCUCCCUUUUUUGUAUUCCAAUUCAGUUAGUUAAUAAAGCAAUUUCUUUCCCUCUUUAUUUUCUCUUACUCCUUUAACUUAAUAUACUAUAAUUUUGGAUUUUCACCUGUUAACUGUCCAUUUUUGCAUACGCCUUUAUAGCAUUGCUGCUUAAACCACUUAAUUUCAUUCUAACAUCAUUCUAACAUUCAUUAAUUUUACAAUAUUUCUGUAGAUAAUCUUUAAAUUUCUUCCAGUCUUCUUCCACCGACUCUUCUCCCUGGUCUCGGAUUCUGCCAGUCAUUUCGGCCAAUUCCAUGUAGUCCAUCACCUUCAUCUGCCAUUCUUCUAGAGUGGGUAGGUCUUGUGUCUUCCAAUAUUUUGCAAUAAGUAUUCUUGCUGCUGUUGUGGCAUACAUAAAGAAAGUUCUAUCCUCCUUUAGCACCAUUUGGCCGACCAUGCCCAGGAGAAAGUCCUCUGGUUUCUUCAGGAAGGUAUAUUUAAAUACCCUUUUCAUUUCAUUAUAAAUCAUCUCCCAGAAAGCCUUAAUCCUUGGGCACGUCCACCAAAGGUGAAAGAAUGUACCUUCAGUUUCCUUACAUUUCCAACAUUUAUUAUCGGGCAAAUGAUAGAUUUUUGCAAGCUUGACUGGUGUCAUGUACCACCUGUAUAUCAUUUUCAUAAUAUUCUCUCUUAAGGCAUUACAUGCCGUAAACUUCAUACCUGUGGUCCAUAACUGUUCCCAGUCAGCCAUCAUUAAGGCAUUGGUCCUAUCGACUAGCCGGCUUCAGCCCAAUUGCAUGAAGACCGGCAAGGGUUAAUCGCCAGCGGGGGGGAGUCCUGCUGAAGUACGUCAACUAGGCUCCCCCAGGUGUCACCGCUUGGGGGCGUGCCUUAGGCCCACACCUCCAUAGGCUUCGGACAGGGCACCGCCCCCCCCGAGUCCUUUAUCGGACUACCCUUUGCUUUGGGGGGAGGUGAUGGCAUUUCCUCCCCCCCCACAUACUCUUAACCCCUCCUUACCAAUGCCUAACCGUCAAUGCCAAGGUGUUGUGAUGAGUUGCUACAAGGUAGGCGAAAAACCAAGUGGCUGAAAUUUGCCAAUUGGGAAAAAUUCCUACCAGGCCCCUUGCGGCGACCAACCAAAGUCCAGAGCAAAGUCAGAAGCCUGCCUAAAGGGAGGGAGGGUGGGAAACUGGGUCAGCUGGCGCGGCAAAAAGAGGGCGAGCCCCGGCCACAUCGGCCACACCGGCCCUAAAUAGGGCAGGCCACGCCUCUCCAGCCACCCGAUUGGCUGGCUGGGUAGACGACACGGCCGGGAUUCCCCCAGUCUCGCGGGGGCUGGAAACAGCCCCCACGCACGUGGGGUGGGCGUGAAGCCCGCAACCCCACCUCCUCCCCAGCUCGGAAGUGGCUUUGUCUGUGAAGCUAUGGCAGUGGUGUAGAUCGGUUACAAAUGGUACAGUCUGGAGAGGAGGUGAUCUUGUGCCCCUCCAGGUGUCACUGGACUGCAACUCACAUCAUCCCUGACCAUUGGGUAAACUGGCUGGGGCUGAUGGGGAUGGGACUUCAAGAACAUCUGGGUGGGCCAUGUGUUUCCUGUCCCAGUUUUCUAGUUUUUAGGUACCAGCCACAGGAUUGAUUUGAUUCGCUAUGUUGAUCUUUCUGUUGUUUUUGGAAAUACUUCCAUUAAUUUGAAAGCAGCUUUGAUUAAAUUGUAUGGGAGGUAUUGAACUUUUUUUUUUUUUUUAAAUGAUAUUUAUUACUUUUUUAACAUUUCCAACACAACACUACAAACAAAAAAAGAAAAAAGAAAAAACAAUGCAAAUACAAUACGAAAACGCUACAUGGACUAACAAAACAAACAAAAACAAGCAAAAACAAUUUAAGAACACCUCAAACAUUUUCAAUAUCUUAUAUUUCAUUCACUUAUUUCCAGCGACCUCCUCCCACCUCCCUUUUUGUAUUCCACUUCUAUUAUUUGUUUCAGCAAUUCCUUUCCAUCUUACUCUAUUUUCUGUUCUAUAAUUAUCUUAACACAUUCUUGCCAUACUUUUCCUUUAAUUUUCUAUUAAUCUAUUUAUACUUAAUUCCUUAUGACAUUUCUGCUAAAGCCAUAUAAUUUCAUUCCAACAUUUUUCUAACAUUCCUUAAUUUUACAACACAGUGGUACCUCGCAAGACGAAAAACUCGCAAGACGAAAAACUCACAAGACGAAAGAGUUUUUCAUUUUUUGAGUUGCUUCGCAAGACGAAUUUCCCUAUGGGCUUGCUUCGCAAGACGAAAAAUGAAAAUGUCUUGCAAGUUUGUUUCCUUUUUCUUAAAACCGUUAAUACCCAGGGUGACUUCGAGGAGCAACUCAUAGCACGCGGUGUGGUAGCCCUUUUAGAGGUUUUUGAAGACUUUGGUGAUUUUGAAGACUUUGGGAAACCGUGCUUCGCAAGAUGAAAAAUUCGCAAGACGAAAAAACUUGCAGAACGAAUUAAUUUCGUCUUGCGAGGCACCACUGUAUUUCUAUAAAUAGUCUUUAAACUUUUUCCAAUCUUCUUCCACUGACUCUUCACCCUGGUCUCGGAUCUUGCCAGUCAUUUCCGCCAAUUCCAUAUAGUCCAUCAACUUCAUCUGCCAUUGUCCAACGCUUCAGUGUUUUCAAAAGCAACCAUUCUCUCAACCAGCAAAAAGCAGAUGGUUCACAGCAAAGUUUAAAGGUCUGGCAGGGCAGGUCCACCUCCUUCUUUGGCAUCCAUCAAUAUCUUAAAUUUUACUCGAGGCUUCCUGCCCUGCCAAACAACUCUAGGAGCAUCCCUCUGUCACCUCCUGAAACCCUCCAUCCCAUCCAAAGCUUGCAAUGUUUGAAACAAAAGCAACAUCCCCAGCAACACAGCAGCCCUCAUCCCCACCACAAUAACUCGGCCUAACAGUAAUAACUUCUGAUUUGUCCAUAUUUCCAAAUCCCCCUUCUCUUCAAUCCAACAUCCUUCACAGUUAUCCUUAAGCAGAUUCACAUUUUUGGCGGUCAUACUAACCCCCAAAUACCUCUCUUUCUCAACCAAUGUUAGUCCUGUCACCUCCUGAAACUCUGCCAAGCUUUCCUUUUCCAAGUCGGAUAGGGCUCUGGUCCUCAAAUUCAUCCAUUCUUCUUUAAGUUCAAUCAUAACGAAUGUCCACUUAUGUUCGUCAGGUUGUCUUUGUAUGGAUGGGACUCUCCUCUCCUGUUGUAUUACUUUAGAUUCAGCAGCAAGGGUUUUUCCCCUGACUUCAUCUGCAGUUUGCCAUAUCGAAGUAGAUUCCUGUGUCAGUUUCUGGGUGGUUUCUGAAUUGGUAUUCACCUUUUGUCCCAAGUUAUUUAAACUUUCUACAGUUGAAUCAAUUUCAAUAUUUGCGACAUCCAAUUUCACAUUUAUCGCAUCUGUUUUCUUGUGGAGUUGUUCCAGCGAAUCGUUUAUUUUCAAUAAUGCAGCCACUAAGGCCUCCUCUGUCGACAUCCCGUCUGUUUUUUCCUUUCCGUUUGCCAUAACACUUAAGAGAUUCAAGGUCAGUUCCAAAGUCUCACACUUUUUUAUCUUGCAGCUGGAAAUUCCCCUAGCCCAGCUCCUAUAAUGUAACCAAUUUCAAAAGCUUCCACUAGGGGAAAGCGAGUUGUAUUUGUAUCAGUCAGUAUGUCCUCUUUUAAACACAGUUUCAAUAAUCCAAAGUUAGUUUCAAUUUUCAGUUACUUUCCUCCUUUUUUAAUAAAGUUCAAUAAAGUUGUUUCAAUUUUCCAUUACUUUUACUCCUUUUUAAGUACAGACGAAGACAAUGGAAACAAUGUAUCUCUCUUAUGCUAGCUGUCACCGAACAUUCUAUUCGCUGUCAAUGAACCUUCCAAAACACGUCGGUCUUACUAGCAGCCCGUUUCCAGGUUCGGAACGGUGGUAUUUUAAUCUCCUUCACUCACUCCUGCAGGGAUACACAAUCCAAAGCCUCCCCCCUCUUCUCCUGCUUCCAAGGGGGGCUUAAUAUUUUUCACUGAUAAGAAUUUAGUCCUUUACAAUAGGCUUUCCAAGACUUUAGCUUGCAACCUCUUUGCCUCAGUCUUAUUUACAAAAAGGGGAGGUGGACUUCCUGUUUUGAGCCUCCCCGUUUCGGUGCCAAAUUAAGACGUUUAAAAAUCCAAUUCUUCACUCUACUCACGGGUAGUUGCUUUAAGAUCAAAUUGUCCACAGGAAAAAGUCAGCGCUCUCCGUGGAAGAAAAAGUCAGACUGCUCCGUGGAAGAAGCAGUCGAUCCGAAGCACCGCGCUGCUCACCCCACGUCGCUCCGGAUCCCCAAAACCAGGUUUCCCCGCGAGUAGGGAAGGCGCAAAAGGUGCCCGCCAAAUCCCACGUUCACAGGCUUCACCCGCCUGUGAUUUUUAGUGGGUCUCCGCCUUCGCCGUGGCGGCCAGACCCGAAUUUCCACGAGGCAAAUUCCUCCCGAUCAGAGGAAUUCCGCCAUUGCCGGUGGCGCCAACCCGGAAGCCGGGAGGUAUUGAACUUCUCAAGCCAUUAAAGACCUUCGCUAUUCAGUGUGUGAGAAUCCAGUGUCUCCAAUAAGUUGUGCACGCAGGCUACCACAAAGGAAUUUUACCCUCUCCUCAUGAAAGCGAAUGUAGAUAGAGUUAUGAGCAUAUUGUAUGUUGGGCCUGUGAAAGCACAAUCAAGUGGAGCCCUUGGAAAGGCAACUUUUCAGACUAUGUACAGGAUGUUUGGAGCUAAUAGAUGGUUGAGAUUGCUCACUCUUUAAAAAAAUGUAAUUAGCCCUUAGAUGAACAGGCCUAGAAAGUAAAACUCAGAUGCCAUCAAAGAGAAAGGCUCACUAAUUUGUAAUAUCCAAUUCUUAAUUAUGCCAGAAAAAGCAACCUGGAGCCAUCCUUUUAAAAAGUACUGGGCUAAUUAGUCCAGCCAAGCAGAUAUUAUUGUAAUUUUAGCAGCCAACCAUCAUGCCAUUUAACUGGGGGAAAAAGUCCUCUAACCAUUUAGUUUCAUAUUGAGCAUUAAUCUAGAAAAUAAGAUUGUACACAUUAAAAGAUUCAGAGUUAUGGAGAGAAGUAAAAUACAAAUUAACGUAAUAGACCCAUUUGGUUUACUGGCUACCGUUACAUACAUACAGUGCAGAAGUCUUAGCUAGAAAUUUCACAAGUACAUCAUUGACUGCAUUCAUUUAAUUUUGAGACUCUUUUAAAACAAGUUACUAUAAUGGAAUUUUGCUGUUCUGAACAUGACACAGCUGCUUUGAUUAGACAAUAAAUACACUAAUUUCUCAUGCUUGGGUUUCUUUUUGCAUUUUUACAAUAACGGUUUGUAGUUGUUUAUUAAUUAACUUUCUAUACCACCCUUCAUCCAAAAAUCACAGCAUGGUUUACAAUAUAGAAACACAAAAAAUACAUGCUCUAAUAACAACUAUAAUCUCCUACCCCACACACAGCUGAGAAGACCAUAGAUUGUUUAAUUAGCCAAGGCCUGGGAGAAAAGGAAUGUUUUUGACUGGUCCCUAAGAUAUGUAAUGGACCUCACAUGGAGGAAAUACACAAAGAAGGGCCUCAGAUGGUGAUCACAGGGUCUGGGUCGGCUCACAUUGGGAGAGGUAGUCUUUGAGGUAUUGUGGUCCUGAGCUGUUUAAGGCUUUAUAGGUCAAAACCAGCACUUUGAAUUGGGUACAGAAGCUAAAUCGGGUCCUCCCUUAAAGAGGGCACAUAUUGCGGUGAGACCUGGAUAACCGACACUUGUGUUGUGGGUGGGUAUGAUUGGUCAUCCACAACACCUGAUUGAUUGGUCCCUCGUAGCUGGGUGCAAUCUGGCCAAUGGGACGCAGUCUAAAUGGUUCGAGGGACCUAUUUAUGCCCAUGCACGUGACCCAGAGCUUCCUCUUUCAGCACGUGCAUUCGGAACACCCACCCACCUCUCCCUACUUUUAGGGCUUUGCGCUUGACCUUGCUAUGCCGUCGUGUGUCGUCUGUAGUUGGGACAGGGCAUGGCAGGAAUUUUCCCCACUUGGCUGAUUGGCUGUUGCCAUUUGGGUUUCACCUGCCAUGUAGCAAAUCGUCACAACUAGUAAGGUUGCGGAUAGGUUCUGGUUCAGGUGAUAGGGAUGGGAGAACGCUCUCACCAUUUUUAUGUGAAGGGUAUUCCGUUAAAGGAAUCCAGGGACUCGAUGGUUUGGUCAACCCCUGAGAGGGGGUUGUGCCCAUGCCUGAGUCCAGGGGGACAUUUGGGUGGCGGAGAUAGCAGGUUCCCAGCUUUCUGCUUAUCCAGGUGUUCACCCUUGGCUGACCUAUGCUGGAGCUCUGGGUCAGUGCUACCUGCAACGGUGCAGGGAGCUAGUCGAACCAGAGCCUAUGCAACCAAUCACUCUCUGUAAUCAAUAAAACUGUGGCCUAAAUUCUGCCAAAAACCAAAACCAAAAUUUGAGUCAAGUGUGAAUUUAUUUAGGGGGGAGGUUUAUGGGUCUGAACAUGCAAUUGGCAGCCAGUGCUGUCAGGCCAGGAUCGGUGUGGUAUGCUCAAACCACCUUGUCCCAGUGAGCAACUUGACUGCUGAAUUCUGCACCAGGUGAAGUUUCCAAACCAUCUUCAGAAGCAGCCCUACGUGUAACGUGUUGUAGUAAUCACACCUAGAGAUUAGCAGAGCAUAGAAGACAGAAAUUACACUAUCCCUGUCCAGAUAGGGGUGCAGCUGGGCAAUCAGAAUAUAUUUAGCUCAGUUGCAUAAACCUUUCACACUCCAGUAAAAAAAAAAAAGUGUUAAGAUGCUCCACUGCAAGUUGGAGAUAUAUCCUAGCUAUUCUAGGAAUGUUCCAGAUAGGUCUAGCACAUUUAUCCAAGCGACCCUUAGCUUUCACUCCCUCUGGUACUCAACAUGCUGGUCUUAUUUGCACUGAGCACUAAAUCAAACCAUGGCUAAGUGGGAAAGAGCAAGCCUGCAGGUCCACAGUUAGAAAAUUGGGGCCACUUUUUCAUCAUUGUUGCCUUCACACCACCAAGAAAUAAUCUAUGGUUUGUUUUGGUAUUGCAACAAAUCCAGGCUUGUGUUUUUUCUCCCCUGAGCAAACCAUGAGUGAUAAGUGAAGAACAAACCUUGGUUCCAGCUUAUGAUCUGCUUGGAAUAAGACAAACUAUGAGCCCUUGUUGGGUUGAAAUCACGACAGACGAGUGGCAGGUGCCAUAUGAGAGGCGUCUCUGCCGGGGCAAGCCCGGGGAACUCUCUUUUAUUGAAUAUUACAAACAUUGCCACAGGUGUGCUUGUGGCUGAUUGGUUGAUACAAACACAAAGCAACUUGUUGCUGAUUGGUUAACAUAGGUACAAGGCGGGAAUUACAUAUAUCCAUUUAUCACUGAUAGAUCAAAGGCUGAGAAACGGAGCUGGAACUAGACAGGCAUGAAACCUCCUAAUUAAAUUAUAACUAAAGAUUAAUAUUGAGAGAACAUAACAUGAAAGAAUACAACAAUCACGUUCCGUAGAUGUGGUCAGCAAUGCAUUAAGAACAGGUCAGGAUACACUGUUUCAUGAACUCAAUGGGAACUGUUCAGAACAUUCUCAGACUCAUGUGCAGAGGCAAAAACUUCCCAGC